UUACAUCCAUUGUUCAUUACUCAAAGCCUGCAACCAUGGCUUUUGUAGCUCUUGUACUCCUGUCCCUCCUGACUCCUCUCGUCUCUGUUUACUCCUCCGAUGAUGUAAAACCAUGGUGCAGCCAGACACCCCACCCUCAACCUUGUGAAUACUUUUUGAGCCAAAAGACUGAUCACUCCCUCAUCAAACAAAAGUCCGAUUUUCUCAACAUAUCAAUGCAACUUGCUUUGGAACGUGCCAUGAUUGCUCAUGGUGACACCUUUUCCCUGGGCUCCAAGUGCCGGAAUGAGCGAGAAAAGGCUGCAUGGAAUGAUUGUCUAGAGCUCUACGAGCACACCAUUCUUAAGCUCAAUAAAACUCUUGAUUCCAACACUAGGUGCACCCAAGCUGAUGCUCAAACAUGGCUUAGCACUGCUCUUACCAACCUCCAAACAUGCCAAGACGGGUUCAUCGACCUUGGUGUAUCAGACUAUGUUUUGCCCUUAAUGUCCAACAAUGUUUCCAAGUUGAUUAGCAACACUCUAUCCAUCAACAAAGUUCCAUAUGCUGAGCCUAGUUACAAAGGCGGUUACCCAACUUGGGUGAAGCCUGGUGACCGAAAGCUUUUGCAGUCUUCUUCUCUGGCUUCACAGGCGAAUAUUGUGGUGUCCAAAGAUGGCUCAGGGGAUUACACAACAAUAGGAGCAGCAAUCACUGCAGCUUCCAAGCGAUCAGGAAGUGGAAGGUAUGUGAUAUAUGUGAAGGCAGGGACAUAUAGUGAGAAUGUUCAGAUUGGAAGCGGUUUGAAGAAUAUAAUGUUGUUGGGUGAUGGGAUUGGAAAGACCAUAGUCACUGGAAGUAAGAGUGUGGGGGGAGGCUCUACUACAUUCAAUUCCGCUACAGUUGGUAAGUGUCUAUCCUCUAAGCUAUUGCAUUGAUGUUAUUCCUUUUCCUACAUACAAUUGAGAAUUUGAGAGAUUGAUUUGAAUUGUAUCUUCAUAUUAAGGGCCAAUAUGAGCAUUAAGUUAAUUGCUAAGACAUAUGAUUGUGCUUUUUAAUUUCAGCUGUGGUUGGCGACGGCUUCAUAGCUCGUGGCAUGACAUUCCGUAACACUGCUGGAGCAUCCAACCACCAGGCAGUGGCUCUACGAUCCGGGUCGGACCUCUCAGUUUAUUACCAAUGUAGCUUUGAAGGGUACCAAGACACUCUCUACACCUACUCUGAGCGACAAUUCUAUAGAGAAUGCGAUAUAUAUGGUACUGUGGAUUUCAUUUUCGGAAAUGCUGCAGUUGUGUUUCAAAAUUGCAAUAUUUACGUACGUAACCCUCCCAACAAGAUCAACACAGUAACUGCCCAAGGUAGGACUGACCCUAACCAAAACACUGGAAUUUCCAUACACGACUGUAAGGUUACAGCUGCUUCAGAUCUAAAGGCAGUGCAAAGCUCGGUCAAGACAUACCUUGGGAGGCCAUGGAAAGAAUAUUCUCGGACCGUCUUCCUAAAGACCUACCUUGAUAGCCUAAUAAACUCGGCUGGUUGGAUGGAAUGGAGCGGUGACUUUGCCCUAAAAACCCUAUAUUAUGGAGAGUACAUGAACACAGGCCCUGGGUCAUCCACAUCUGGUAGGGUAGAUUGGGCUGGCUAUCAUGUGAUUACUAGCUCAACUGAAGCAGCAAAGUUCACUGUUGGUAACUUCAUCUCCGGCAAUUCCUGGUUACCAUCUACCAACGUUCCUUUUACUUCUGGCCUUUGAAUUGAUCCAAUUAGUGCGACAUGAUGUUCUAUCAUCUUCCUACAGAUAUAUUUGUAAAUCUAGAAGGACAAAUAAAUUGGAGGGGGGGUGGCAAUAAUCCCUAAAAGUCUAAAGACUUGGCUUGUCAUCUAAUAGCUACAAUUGUUUCAUUGUACCUUGUUACAAAUAGUAUGUUAUGAUUCUUUAUUGAUUGUUGUAAAUAAUGAUAUCGUUUUACAUUGUUGGUGUUUAAUUCGUUUCCAAUUUUUUGUUUUUAAAAAUCGAAAUUCUUACAUAAAAUGUAAGAAUUCUUAUAAAAAAGUAGGUAGAUAUAUACUUUGUGUGCUCAGAAAUAAUUUCUUAUAAUUUUAAAAAGUAAAAAUUUCAAAAUUUUUAAAUUUUGAAAAGAGUUUUAAGAACCCGAAAAAUAGAAAGUAUAUUCAAAAGUCACCUUAUUUUAUUAAUUUCAUUUAUAAUUAAAUAGAUGACAAGGAGAACAUGGACCAUUAACUUUCACCCUACUAAAACAAAGGCCCUACAUAUUCAACACUCCUCAAUGCUGAAAUUUAACCAUACCUAAUAUAGCCAUGAAAUCCAUAAACUUUUCCCAAGACAAAAUAUUUUGUAAAUACAUCUAGAAGUUGAUCAUGGAGCUAUAAUAUAUGAUAUCUUGAUAAUUUUCUUCGGCCACUAACUCUCUGUGUCUCGUGCACCAAUGAAAUAUCAUGAUUUGAGCUCUUUUUACGUUCUUCCACAUCGUCAAACUUUUCUUAACCUAACACUAUGACAAGUUGUAGAAGUUGUUGCAGUAUACUUGGCGUCUAUACAGUUGACGGCUGUUUAAAAUGUACCUUAUAGCACAACUACACAUGAUCUUCAUUUCAGCUUGUCCAAUUACUAUAAAGAAAAACCACAGCUUUAGACUACUAGCAUUAGUGUGCUAAAUACCAUAUGAGCUUGAUCACUAGCUUUCAAGAAAAUCUUUUACAUACUCCUCUUCCUUCAUAGCAUUGCUUUACUUCCAAGCCAAGAAAGUAACUAAUCAAGUUAAGAUCAGUCAAAUUCAUUGAUCAUCUUAGUAUGGAAUUUCUCCAUUCGACUCCUCUAGAAACCAUCUUGCUUGAAGUAUCCAACAAUUGGAUUGUACCAACUGUUUGGCACCUGCUAAAAGACAUCAAAAGUCUUUUUAAUCAAUAUAUGCCUUCAUUUUUUUUAACCCUAACUUCACAACCUUAGAGUUCCUACAUACACUUCUUCAAUAAAAAAACCAUUUAGAAAAGCUAACUAAACGUCAAAUUGAAAAAGAAUUAUUUUUUGGUGACUAGUUACAAUUAAAAUAGUUUUAAUGUUGUCUAAUCAUGCAAUAGAAGCAAAAGUAGUUUUUUCAUAAUCAUUAUCUUUGCUCCACAUAUAACCUUUGGCAAUGACCUUACCUUUAUAAGCAUUGCUUAACAAAAUUGUAUAUUAUAUAUAUAUAUAUAUAUAUAUAUAUAUAUAUAUAUAUAGUACUUAACUUAGCCCAAGAGGCCAAACAAUGCCCAAAGACUCCUAUACCUUUCUUGGUCGGACCGAUUCAAUCGGCUAUUUUUGACAAGGUCUAGUUUCUAGUUGUAAAUAUGUUUUGAUUUCUUCUUGUCAAGAAAUAAUAUUAUGACAUUUACGCUAUCCUAGUUUUCCUUAUUUGAAAACUUGUUUCUAUUCUUAUUCAGAAAUAAAAGUCAAUGUUUGUCCAUUGUAAAGUAUAUGCCUACUUACCAAACAUAAUCAUGCAAUGUUUCAUACUCAAUCUUAUAAAUCUUCAAAGCCAUUUUCUAUAAUUCAUAGUGACAGUAAUAAACCUCUCAGGUAAAACAAAUGGUUUUUAACAUUUAUAGAUGAUCAUACACUAGUAUGUUGGGUUUAUCACUUGAAGGAGAACUCUGAAACUUGCCAAAUCUUCCAAAACUUCCAUUUAAUGGCCAAAAUAAGUUCUAAACACAAAUUUAGGUUCUAAAAGUGAAUAAUGAUAGAAAAUACUUCCAUUCUAUCUUGAGAGAAUACCUAGCAAAACAAUGGAUAAUUCAAAGCAAAAAGACUAAAAUAUGUUGAUGGUGUAGCUCUCAUGGCUUCUGAUCUUAAAGUAUUCUUUUCAUAGGUGAUCAUAGAUCAUCUUGAUUUUCUAAUGGGAUGAAGAAUUCCUUCUUCUUCCAAAGUCAUCUUUAUUGUCUUGGAGAUAAUUGGUGGAGGAAUAUUUUGACCUCGCUUCAAUUUCUGAACCAAUAUCUUCAUGUUUAUCUUGGGAAAGGAUGGAGAGGUUGUCUUUGAAGAGGUUUUGAUACUUUACAAUUGUCUUAAUUUUGGUAAGUUGAGUGUGAAUCUGGAACUUCUUGAGAAGGAACUUAGACGCAUCUUCUAAGGCUAGGGUGUGAGAAGGAUAAUUCUGAAGAUACUUUUGAACUACCUAGAUUGAGGCAUCACUCUUCAAGUCAUUCCACCAUUUUGUCUUAAAAGUUCUUUCUAAAAAGGGAAAGAUUGCUAAGGCAUAUUCAGUAAUGAUAUAGUCCUACUAGAUUAUCCAUGCCAGUGCAAACUCUAAAGAAGAAUAAUAGUUAGGGGAAAACUAAAAGUUCCCUUGGGGAAAAAGGAUAUUUGGAAAAUCCUAAAUCCCUAAAGAAAGAGAGUUGGGAGGAUCAUUGUUGGGCAAAAACAACUUCACCAACUAUGAAACUAGAAGGGUGUUGUUAAUUUAAAUGUGAAUUGAAAAUAGAACAUCCUUAAUGAUAAAAGUUCUUAUUUAGAAUAAAAAAAAGGCAUCCAAACAUGCCCUCUAACAAUCCCAAUAAUUAAGAAGUCUGGGCUUAGAGAAUUUGGAAAAUUACCUUGAAUAGUUAGAAUUACCUCUCCAUUGUGAAAUUCUAAGGAUAUUAAGGAUAUGGAAAGUAGAGUAUUAAACUUAUCUGGAUAGUGCUUAAUUUUGAUAGAUUACUUAGUAUCCACAAGGAUAAAUUCAUAAAAUUCUCUUAAUUUUAAGUGAUCAACUAAAGGAUAGUGCAAAUUAUCAUAAAAGGUUUUCUUAGCAAUCUUUCUUGGGUUUUCAUUGAACUAUUCUCUCUUAAUAAUCAUAAUAGGUUAAUUGGGAUUCUUUUUCCAAUCCUGAGAAUUUUUAGAAACUGGUGUGAAUUUAAAGAAAAACUUGAAGCUACAUCCUUUUGAAAGAAAGAGAAUUGAGAAACCUAUUUAAAGUCUAAUUAAGACCCUCAGCUUGAUGGAAAAUGAGUAACCUUAAAGGGUUUUGGUUGGUCCAAAAUAUCAUGAUAAAGGGUUACAAACUUGUUAGAAAGGAUAGAAUAGGGCCACAAGGAGAGGGAAUGGAAGAAAUGAAAGAAAGUUGAUUUUUUUUUUCUUCUCCUUCUUGUUCAACCUAAAGACUCCAAGGAAGUUUUCUAGUGCUUAAAAUACUAGAAGAAUCUUAGGUUUUCUUAAAAUAUUUAAUUAGGUUAUUGUGGUUUCUUAAAUGAUUUUGAAGGGACUUAGAAGGUUGGAUAGCCUUUUUAAGGGUCAUUGUUUUGUGAAUCUUGCAAAAUUUCAUGCGUAAGAAAACUAGGGAAUAAGUUGUUUUUUCCCUUAAUAGAUUAAUUUAGAAAUAAAUAAUAAUUAAAAUUGUGUGUCAUUUGCCAAAAAUAUGCUUAGAAGCUAUAUUUUUAACAACCUUUUACAAAAUUUAUUUUGUUGAUUUCCAAUCAAUACAAAUGAAAAACUUUUGAUUUAAAAUAUCAUCUUGAAAUUUUGAAAUCCAUAAAAUAAUACUUAAAUAUCUCUUUUUUGAUUGUCCAAUAAUUGAAUUGGGCUUGAUUCCAAGUUUAUGAGGUACAAAUCUUACUGUUUCUUCUUUGCCCCCAAUUUUUUUGCUAAAGAAUCCCACAAUACCCUAUUUCUAAAGUAUUUGUUUCAAUAAUCUUAAAGGCUUUAGGAUUAGCUAAUGUAAGGCAUGACAAAGCUGCAACUUUGGUUUUAAUAAGCCUAACAAUUCUAGUAUGUUUCCCAUGGUAUUGGAUCCUUCUCAAGUCUUUGCUUUAAAGGUGCACAUAACUGACUUAUGUCUUUGAGAAAUUUUAAAACAUAAUUGAGACUUCCUAAGAAAUGCUAUAAUUGUUUCUUAUCCUUGAUCUCAUUUGGAAACUUAUAAGUGAAUUGAACUAAUUUCUAAGUUGGAGUUAUAGUUCCUUGGUAGAUACCUAGGAAUCUAACCUUGGUCUCCAAAAGAUUAAUCUUAGAGGCUAAUAAACUUAAACCAUUUUCCUUAAUGGUUAGGAUAAACUUAUUAAGGUGUUUCUAGUGUUUUUUCAUAAAUGAAGAGAAAACUACAACAUCAUCUAUAUAAACAAUGAGAAAUUCUGAAAAUAUCUUAAAAAUCUCAUUCAUUAUGUUUAGGAAUUCUAAGGGUACAUUCUUAAGUCCAAAGAGCAUUACAUUCCAUUCAUAAUGUCUAAAUGAUACUAUAAAUGUUGUCUUAUAACAAUCCUUUUUAACAAAUUGGAUUUGCUAAAUCCUUAUUUCCUAUCAAAGUUAGAAAAUAUGUUAGACUUAUUACUAACUUCUUUGAUUGAAAAAAUAAUAUGAUUUUCUUUAGUCUUAAUUUUCCUACAAAUAGUUGUGGAUCUGAAUUCAUUUAAGUUUCUCUCAUAUGGAGAAUAAGCAAACUCAAAAAAGAUCUCUUGUUAAGGAGUUUUGUCCUUAUACCUUGGUUGUCUACUUCACUGAUGGGUUUAGAUAGUAUAUUUCUUCUCUUAAAUCUUAUACCAAAAUAUAUAAAGGGUUGUUGGAUACACAUCCCUUAAUUACAAACUUGUGCUUUAGACAAUUUGUAAUUAAUCUCUAAUCAAACUCUUUUUGCACAGUAAAAGGCUUCCUUAGCUUUUUGUUGGACGUCUGUUAAACCUACAUAUAUUGGUGUAUUGUCUUAACUCUUGGACUUCUAACUUAUAUCAUUCUAUUUCUUCCUAAAGAUAUUUAAUAGUUACUUCUUAAGGGGAAUUAUGGUUAAAUCUUAUUAAGAUUUCAUCUAAGUUAUAAGGGUUUAUAGUCAUCCUAUUUUAUAAUUUGUGAACAAAUUUGUUAAAAAUUUCAUACAACUUUAAUUUUAUUGAAGAGUCUACUACUUUACGAAGUCAUGCUAAAAUUAAUUUGUGUUCUUUGGUGAAAACAUCUAUAAUCUUGGGUUGACAAUCACAAGUAUCCCUAAUACAUUAUUCUUGAUCACUAGAUCUUUGACUUACACUUUGUUUAGAUUUUGAAUUUUGUUAAUAUCAUCUUGAUUAUCUUAUUUAGUAAUGGAUUGAGAUUCUAAAGUGUUUAGCAUUAAACCACAUAGCAUAUCUUUUAACUAAUCUAAAACAUUCAAGUUAUUGAUUUUUUUUUUCUACCUUACAAUCUUCUUAAAAUGUUCUACUUUUCUUAAAGCAAUCUAGGUUUGAAUGUGAAGGAGUUUCUAUUUUCUUAUGAGGUUCUUUGGUAGACUUUCUCACAUUAUAUCUAAAUCUUUUAGUUUUAUUUUGUCUAUGUUUUCUAUAUGCUCCUCAUUUGUUAGGGUAAAAUUUUUCCUUGGUUUUUUGACUAUUUGUCUCUUUCUAGUUUGCUUAGAUGAUGGAGGCUUAGCUUCUUUUUUACUAAAUCUAAACUGACUACAAAAUAUUUUAAAUUCAAUUCCUUUUUAUAAAUGUUUUGUUUAGAUUUCAUUUGUUUCUUAAACUUAAUAUUAUUACAUAAGUUAAUAUUUUCUAUAAUAAUAAUACUUACAAUUUCUCAAUAUGUUCAUUUAUUAUAAGGAAUUUGACCAUUAAGUUGUUCUCUAAUCUUAAUCCUUAUUUUCUCUAUAAAAAAGAAAAAGAAAAAAGUCUAGGUCUAAAUAAUCUUAAGAUAAAUUUUUCUUUCCAAAAGGAUUGAUUAUAGUUUUAUCUUAACAUUACUUUGGUUAAAAGCAUGUCUUUAUACCAGCUAAAAUCAUGAAGUUUAGGUCACUUAAGGUUGGUUAAAAGAUCUAUGGUUUUAUCUUUGAUCUUAGAUGCAUCUCCUCUGAAAUGUUAGAGAUAAAGAAAAUUAGAGUAGAGAUUGCAUUCUCUGUUGUCUUUUCCUUCCUCAUCCUUCACUAUUUCAUUUUCUAAACUAGUUCUAUAAGCUCUUAAUAUAGAACGCAAGAUUGCAUCCUCAGUCUUUCCUUAUCCUUUGCUAUUUCAUUUUCUAAAUUAGUUCUAUAAGUUCUUAAUAUAGAACUCCUAUCUUCAGAUGUAAGAUAAUUAUCGUACUAGCCUUUUAAUCAGUUUGCAAACCCAACAAUUAGUGUCUAGGCAACAACAUGGUCUAACAAUCUAUUAUUUAAUUUAUAGUUUGUGCUAACCAUAAUCAUCUCCUAAAGUUUGGUUGAUAUGUUACAAUCAAGUAUACCAUCUAUGUUCUAUUCAUAAAUGUUCGACUUAUAUAUGAAGUGUGUAUAUAUUGAUUCUUUUCCUCAUAUUGCAUAUAAGGGAAGAUUGGUCUAGGGUAAAAAUUCUUAAUCCUAGAAAUUUUCUAAUUAUGAGUUUCUUUAAAAGUUUUUAUUAGUUCAUUAUUCUUCAACAUUUGGACUAGAAUCUUCAUUAAUAGCAUUAAUUCUUCUUAUAUAAGAAGAUUAUGAGGUAUCUAGAACAAUCAAAUUCUCAUUUAAUGCUUUUAACAUCUCCCUUAUUCAUUUUAUUAGAUCUUGGUUUGGUAUAGGAUUUUCCUCAAAUUUCUUAGAUAACUUAAAUGACUUAAAUAAAGGCUGAUCAUCUUUUUUGUUGAAGGUUGUCAUAAUGUGUUCUUGGUUUUGGAUGACUUCUUUUGCUCUAUUGAGUUGAUCUCCUAAAGUCUUAAGAAACAUAUUAGUAUAAUUAUUUUGUUCCAUGAUUUUCUUAAUAUUUAUUGCAUUAACAUUUCCUUUGUCAUCAGUUUUAGUUUAAAAUGUGAUGCUCUUACUAUUGUCCCAUUAACAUAUUUGUCUAUCUUAGCUUUUGGAGGAUGAAUGGAUUCUAUAUAUGAUGAUAUUAUCCCUAGUUUUUCAUUAUCUAGUAUUUCUUGAGUUAUUGUUAAUAUCCUUGAAUGGAUAACUAGGUUAUUUAUUCUUUAAAGGUUUCAAACCAUUUCUAAAGCUUAACAUGAGUUUGAUGUUUUCUUAAAUAACCAUAAAAUUAUUGAUAUAUGUUUCUAAAUACUUGUGAAACAUUACUAAAGUACCAUAACUUUUUUCUCUUUAUUUUCUUCUAAGAAGAAUUCUUGUUUUAACAAUUCUUUGUUAAUUAUAAAAUCAUGAUAUAUUAAUUAAUCACUUGGGAAUAUGUGGGUAAUAAAUUUGAUAAUUCUUAGUUAAACUAUCUUUAAAAUAGUGGGGUUGUGUUAUAUUUGUGAGGCUUCUCACUUCUAAUAACUUAAUAUUCUUAGGAUUCAAAUAUGUGGAUCCUUCCUCCAUCUUAGUGGUUCUAGUUGGAAUAUAUGAGCAUGAUACCUUGAAUGGUUCAUAUUCUAAAAUUUAGGAGUUUUGGAAUGUUUGAAAGAAUUAGAGAAUAUUGAAUCUCCUCAUCCAAAAGGGUAUUGAACAAUUUGUUCAAUUUUUUUCUUUUUCUAUUCUUUGCUUUGUGAGUUCCACAACGUUAGAGAAAUGGUAUGAUUCCGGAAAAUCAACUCUAUAUUCCACAUGAUUUUGUUAAGGAUGAUAAAGUUGGAUUUACUAAUUUAAUCUGAUUGAAAAAUAAUAGUUUCUCCCUUAGGACUAGUGCAUCCCAAUACUACACCGAUGGUCAUGCUUUCAUAUAUGAAUUUUGUAAUUAUGGAGAUUGGACUAUUUCCUUCUUUAAACUUAAAUCCACGAGUCUUAACAUGGAGGACAAUUGAAUUCAAGAUGCCAACAUCUCUUAAUUUCACCAUGAAAUUAAGGAAACACUAAAAGUAAACCGGUCCAUCAUUUAAUCAUGUUUGAAUUGCCUCGAUAAUGGAUACUUUGUAAUCAAUAUCUCCAUUAUCCCUUCGAUGCAUAACAAUUGAGGCAUUUAAGCCUAUUCUAACCAAUGACUUAACAACCACUUGAACCAUUCCUAAGUGUAUGAAAUUAUAAUCUUUCUUAUGUCUUUCUAUAGAUUUGUUAUCUAUCUUAUUAUUUAAUCAUCUUGUUCAAAGUUUAUGGUUUGUUCAAUCAUCUUAACCAUGUACAUAGUUGAGAAAAACUUUAAUGAUCAUUUCAUAUAAAUUUUUUUAUUGGAAACCAUAGGUAUUUUUCUAUGUUGUUUUGAAUCUUAGGAAAAUUCAUUUCUUCACUAUUUACAAUAUUUUCUUGAGGAUUUAGGAUCUUCUAAUCAUAGAUAUCUCAACAUUAAACUCAUUUUAAGUCUUAAUCUAUUACGUGUUCACGAGUUUACAAAUUUAAUUGAGUAAUCACCAAAAACCCUGCCCCAAACACCUCUUCUUUUGGCUAACACGGGCUCCUCUAAAUCCCCUCUAGGCAACUAUUACUCCUAGAAUAGAUGAAGUCCUAAAAUAAAUUGAAUAACCAUUUCCAUGGCUAUGAUAUCAUAAACACGCGUGACAAUGCGUAUACAUGGUAAAAGUCCUAAAACAAAUUCAAUAUAUAAAUAUAUAUUAAUAGCAACUUUGAGAUUCUCCCUCUCUCUCUCUCUAUGUACUGUCUAUAAUUAUUCUUUUUUAACAGUUUCAAAGUGUUUAUAAUAUUUAAUUACGUACUUUGUUCCACAAAUGUGAUGUCCAAAUAAUUUGUUGUGGAUUGUUUGAGUGGGAGAUAUUUAGAAAACCUAAAAAUGAUUUUUUUCCUACCCUGAUUAUGAAUAGAUUAAUUAAAUUUGAAAAAAAAUGUAAAAAACAAAAUGAUUUUGUCAUGUUCAAUUAUAGUAUGAAUAAUACAAAAAAUUAUAAUUAAAAUUAAUUACAAGUUUAUAAUUUUCAAAUAUUAAAUCUUUGUACCAAAUAGUUAAAAUAAAUAAAAUGAGUUUAAAGUAAUAUAUAAAAAUAGUUUAACUUUAAAUUAAUAUUUUAUUUUUAUUCACUUUUUCAUUUCUUUUAAUUUUCUUCUAUCUUUAUUUUUUAUUUUUUUUAUUUUUUUUUAAAUUUUCUUGGAAUCAAAUAUACCAAUCCUUAAUCUAAAAAAAGAAAAGAAGGAAAAGAAAAAAGAAAAAAAUUGAAUAUUUGAGAAAGCCAAAUAAUAUUUGUGACCAAUAACUAAGGAUGACAACAUGGGGGGUUUGGAACGGUGGUCCUAACCCAACCUCAUCCCGUUUAUUCAAAAUAAUUUUUAUACCCAUCCCAUUUAACUUUUUUUAUUUUUUAUUUUUUUUAAAUUACUUUUAAAUUUUUAAUUACAUUAAAAUAAAUAUAUUUUAUAAAUAAUUAAAUUAUUAUAUUUUUUAUAACUUAUUUUAUUGAAAAUAUUUUAUUAUUAUCUAUGUAUUAAAAAUAGUAAAAUAAAAUUUAAAUUAAAUUAAUUUUAUAUAUAAUGGAUAAGACAAUACCGUCUCGGAUUUAAAUUUUUUUUUUUUAACUCAUCCCAUUAGAAACAGGGCAAGACGGAUAUCCGGAAAAAACAUACUCCAUUGUAUCCCUACCGAUUACUCAAACCGUAGUUUUCAAAGGGAUAACUACAUUUUCUGGGACCAGAUGGAUAGAUCAUUUAUCCAGGGUUUUCAAAUCCUUUUCUAACCAAUGAGUCCUUGGUUGGUAUGAUGAGACCGAACCCACGUCAAAAUCCGACAAAUUAAUUUUAAAAAAUAGACGCAGUAUAAUGUGAUGUCUUAACAUCUUUGCAAAUGAAAGUUGAAGUCAGAUUCCUAAAGCAUUGUACUUUUCCUCUGAAGCCUUUUAAGCAUUUGUUCGUCAAAGGGGGUCACGUCUGGAUGGCUCAAUUAACAUUUUACACGUGACAGUCUCAUAUAUAUGGAACACAUGCACGCUACGUAGUAAAAAAUUGGGCGUCAAAAAGACAUAAGUCCUGAAGAAAGUUGAUGUUCGUGAUCAUGUUUUGCAUGGUUUUCUGAAAUUAAGGUGGCGCCGUCUUUUGAUUAUUCAUGAGACCAAGACUGUGUUCAGGUCUUGAAAAACCAAAGUUUAAUUAAUGACAGCUGUUUAUGAUUAUAGUUCAAUUUAAUUAAUGAUAUUAAUGCUUAAUUACUCCAUUAAUUACGGUGACAGCAAAAAGCUAAUUAUGCAACUCAUGAAUUGAUAUUCAAAAUUAAUAUUAAAAGAGAUUAUUUAAUAUUUUAACUCUUUAAUUAAGAUUACGUGCCCAUUUCCAUGCCCAUGCAAUUAAUUAAAAUAUCCAUACUGCAUGCUGCAUGUAGUUGUUUCAUUUUCUAUAUUAAAAUAAAAUAAAAAGAAAGAAAAGAAGAAAGAACAAAAAAUAAAUUCAAAGCCCCAGGUUGAUAGUGUUUUUUAUUUCUACUUUAAAAUUAAUUUUCUAGGUUAGGCAUGGAACUGGGCUCUUUCCCAAAGGUAACAUGAAUCUGAACCAAAUUAAAAAAUGGGUACGUAGAUCCAUGCCAACCCUUGACCUGCUGGUUGUGUCGUCCACUUGAUAUUGUCUGCUGGCCCACACUACAAAAAGGUGAGGAUGAAAGCGUUCCAUGCAUGAUCUGCCCUGGUUUCCUCCUUUUCAACUGGUCAACAUAUAUACAUAUAUUCUGCAUGAAAAGGUCAAUAAUGCUAGCUACAUCCUAAACAUUAAUUCCUCCCUCUGUAUGAAGAUAUAAUCAAACUUGAUAUUGCCUGCUCAAAGCCACAUAUCCCCAUUGCUACUGCCUCUAUCACUACAAGAAAUAGAAUAAUUAGCGACAAAAUUUUUAGAUUGGGAAAAAAAUUGUCCCUAAAUGUAUCAAUUAGCGACAAAAUUAAAAAAUUGUCUCAAUAUUUUUAUAUACAUAGUUUUAGAGACGAAAAAUGUAUUUUUUUGUUUCCAAUUAUAUUAAUAUGCAAACUUUCAAAAAAAAAAAAAGUUGUUCAUAAUCAAUUUUGCGAUGAAAGUAGACAUUUAGGGAUGAUUUUUUUUUUUUUUGUUGCAAGAUAUAUAUUUUGGCGAUGAAAUAAUUUAUUUAAUGUUUUGUUACUAAAAAUGUUAUAGAGAUUUAGAGACAAAAAUAUAGCUUUUGUCGCCAAAUAUACUGAUAUGAAUAAGUAAGUUAUUCAUAAAUUUGGCUAUGAAAGUAGACAUUUAAGGAUGAAUUUUUUUUUUCAAGAUAUAUAUUUUGACGAUGAAAUAUUUUGUUGAAUUUUUUGUUAGUAAAAAAUGAUAUAGAAAUUUAGACACAAAAUUUGCCACUUAUGGUUAUUUUGCAACAACAUGAUAUUUUUAUUUAUAUAUAUUAUUUUAUAUUUUUAUUAGGAUAUAUUACUAAAAUUAGAUUGAACAAUAUUAUAUAAUAUUAAAAUAUAUUUAAAUUUAAUAUAUUACAAUCCAUAUAUGUAGUAUGAAUUUUCUACUCGAGUCAUUAAAUUGGAUGAGAAUUUGAUAUGAGAUUUUAAUAUGUAAAAUUCCUUUGCAUUGAUUAGUUUUCUAUAUAGUGAGUUUUUAAAAUUUUGUUUAAUUAAAUAUGUGUAUGACAUAGUUACACUUUUGUAAUUGUAAUAUUUUGUUACAUUAAAUACUUUUCAAUUAAUGUUAUAUGAUCCAAAAAUAAUAUUACAUUUUUAAAUAUUAUUUUAUGUUUUUAUUAGGAUAUAUCACUAAAAUUAGAUUGAAUAAUAUUAUAUAAUAUUAAAAUGUAUUUAAAUUUAAUAUAUUUGUAGACCACCCCUUGGGCCUUCUUUCUUUUUAGGCUGUCUUUGGUGGGCUUGGCCCUUUUUUUAAAGAGAGCAGGCUCAUUUGAGCUUUUAUUUGGGCUACUCUCCUUUUGCACCUCAUGCUUGGAUCUUCUUCAUACUUGGCAUUUCAUGUCCAACUUUCCCAUACCAUCUCUCAUGGACGUGGGCCCUUUUCCUGCAUGGACAUCCACCUAUUCCAUGCAUGGCCUCCUCCCAAGGUGAGUUUUAUUUUGCUAUAUUCUCUUUUCAAAAUUUCCUCCUUGGAAAUUUUCCAUAGGCGAAUAAAAUUCCAAAUUUAAUAAAAUUCAUGCUGCCAUAUUUCCUUCUUGGCAUGCAUUUUUUAUGAUUUUUAAAAUCAUUUUCUCAAACACCUUGAGUUUUCAAAUAACUCCUCAUUUUCCAAGAGUGGGUUGAGCCCAUUUGGACCUUUCUAUAGUUUUAGUCAGUUGCAUUUUAGGGACCUCAUUGGGGGGGGGGGCGCGCUCAUUUUUAGCUCCUUUGGGCCAAUAGUCAGGGAAAUUUUUUUCCUCUUAGUUUUUUUUUGUAGCCAUAGGGACCACCUUAGGAGGCCACACUUAGGCAGAGACAGAUUUGAAAAUUGAGAAAUUUUGAAUCAUGAAUAAUAUUGAGAAAAUUAUUUUAAAUCAAGGAAAAUGAGAAGAUUUAUUCAUGUUUAUUAAUGGUAGGUGAGAGUUGGGAAAACUAUUCUAAAUUAAGGAAAUAUUGAAAAUUUUUAUUUAAAAUUAAAAGAAGUUUAAAAAAAACUUAUUAAAUAAUAGAAAUAAUGUAAUACCCUAGAAUUAAACUUAAACCUAAAAUAAUGUAAUAGCCCAAUAAAUAAUAGAAAUAAUAUAAUUCAUGAAACUGAACAUGUUAUGGCCGCACAUUAUAAUAUAAAUCCCACACGAAAUGCAAUGACCACCAUGCAUCAAAUAUUCCUUAAAUAAUCAAAUUAAUGUACUUUGGAUGUUCGAUAAAAUUAUAAUAAUCAUUCAUUUAAAAUGUUGGCAGUCCUCUUUAUGGAUCAAACGAAGCCAAACUAAUUCUAACUUUUCCACAUUAAUCAACAGAUUACAACUAAAACUAUAAAAGUGAAAACAUGCAAAAUAUGGCACCAAUUUAAUUAAAGUUAUAUAUAUAAACAACUACAAAUUAAAUAUUGAUGCUUCAAAACUAAAAUUAGCAAACUUUAAAACAAGUAAACAAUAACAUGAAAUUGACCAAAUUAUAUACAUCUACUAAAUUGAUAUUAAAUCCUAAAUUAAAAUAAUAAACUUGGAGUAUGAAAAUAAUAGCAUGAAACCAAUUAAAUUAAUAUAAUAAAUUAUGAAACACACGUAAUCUACAUAAGAUGAAUGAUUGAGAACACAAAAAUAUUAACAUGGAUCAACUAGAAUAACAAUUAAUAAUUUUAUGGGUAAUAUAAACUAACAUGGAUAUUUUAAAUAGCAACUAAAAUUUUAAAAAGUUAUAAAAAUUAACAUGAAUCAAUAAAAUAAGAACUGAUAAUUCCAAGGAUAAUAUAGAUAAACAUGGAAUUUCAAAAUCCAACAACAAAUAAUAAAAAAAAUGACAUGAAUAUUCAAAGUUACCAACAAAUAAUUUUACAUAAACUAGCAUGGAUAUUAUAAACCUACAUUGAUAUUAGCUUCCAAUUGUUUAAUUUUAAAUUUAAAACAUGUCUAACCCUGUCAACUUGAAAUUAUAUAUAUAUAUAUAUAUAUAUAUAUAUAUAUAUAUAUAUAUAUAUAUAUAUUUUAUUCCAUAAAACAAACCACUAACAUGUUGAAAGUAUUCCAUGGCCAUAUAAAUUAUUCAUAUAUUUUAAAACGUAAACUAAAGCCCUAAGAACUAAUAACUUUCCAAAUGAAACUCUAAACAACUACAAAUUAAUACGAAACAAUUCAAAUAUUCUGAGCUCCCUUUUCUAGCACCAGCCGUCGCUUUCUCUCUAAAAAAUGGACCUAAGAAUCAGCUCUACUCUGAGCUCCCUUUCUCGCACUCUCUUCUCAAAACUCAUUGAAAAACCCUCCUCAAUCCCGACUCUCUCUUUCUUCCAUUCUCACCCUUCUCUCUCUCUCAAAAAUGUCCCAAACCUCUCUCAGCCUCCUCCGUUUUUCCCCUUCCCCAAAAACCUCUCUACCCAUACCUUCCCAUUCCUCUAAGUUGGAGGUGGUCCUUUCAGCAUGGUGGUGACGUGAAGCCAAGGUCAAAGUGGGAGAGCUUUAUUAAGGCCCCUCAUGUCUGCCCAAAACUCCCUCUCUCUCCAUGGCAAAAAUGUUAAUGAGGCCUUAAAAAAACCAAAUAAAGCAAAGCCACCUUUUGGUGGUCUACAAUACCACUUUACUUUUCUAAAAAUAUUUAUAAUAUUAAAUAAAAAUAUAAUAUAUUUUAAAAUAAUAAAAUUUCCUUUUAUUUUUAACAUGCUCACGUUUAAAUAUUAUACAUAUUUUUUUAAUAAAAUAAUUUACUUUGAUAAUCUCAAAUAUAAAAAAUAAUAUAAUUAAUUAUUAAUUUAUUUAUAUAUUUUAAUUUUUUUAUAAUUAUUUUUAUUUUUAUAAUUAUUUUUAAUUUUAAUAAUAUAUAAAUUAUAUAUUUAAUUUUAAUUUUUUCAUAAUUAUUACAUUGAGAGCAAGUGUGCAUAUAAGGGGCAUGGAGGUCGUGCACUAAAGGAAAGGUGGAGUAUCCUGCUGAUACCCAAACAUCAUUUAAAUUAAAAUAUCACAAUUUCAUCAUUUCAUCUAGUCUUUCAAGAGUAGCCACUCAUUCCUACAGGACUAGACACUCAUGUUCAAUUCCACCUACCACUUCUCUCUUGUUUGACCAACAAGCAAAGGAAACCUCCUUGCUAUGAGCUUUAUAUGGUCUCCUUGCACAUGCAUUCUCCACAUGGAAACCAACAUCCUCUCAAAAUAAAAAUAAAAAUAAAAGCCUUCCAAAUAGGUGGUCUACAAUAAGUUGUCUAUAUAAUAAUGGGAAAAUUGUGUUUUGGGCCUAACUGGGCCCAAAAAUUAAGAAAUGGUCCAUAUAUCUCACAUAAUUAAGCCCAAGACCCAAAGAAAACUUGAAAAUUGAUAAGAAGGAUAUGCAAUAUUUAAUUUGUCGAAAAUGCCCUUUGGUGGCUUUAAAAAAAUAAAAAAAAAACAAAAAUCCACGUUGGAAUUCCAUUUUCCCAAAUUUUAGUUUGCAGUAGGCGCUUUCAUCUUCCCCGUUUUUGUCUCUCGCUGUCGGCCAAAGAAUGCCCUAAUCCUCUAUGGCAAUUUUGUUAUUAUCGAUCUCGUCCUUCCCGACCAUCUAAUUUUAGGUGUAGAUAGCGGGGAUGAACCUCAAUCGGACAGAGGAGGCUACUGGACGAGAGAGAGUGUAGUUGUCACCCUCGACCGCUACAAGGUUGGAAGAGGAGGCUCUUUCUUUAUUCACCAAGUGCACUUAAAUGGAGUGGUAGAAUUACUGAAUUCCAAUAACACUGACACCUUUAAGGUCAAUGGUCAUCGUUUCAAGCCAUUCAUUGAUCCAUUCAAGCAAGAAAAUGAGGAAAUCAACCUCCUUGAGCCAUAAAAAGCCUAAUCAGAAAAGGGUUAGAUGAACUUGGUUUCACUAAAGUCCAUAUUUUUUUGUUUAACUUUGUUAAUUUAAAAGCUUUAUUAAUUCUUUUGAUUUUAAUUUUGGUCUUAAGUUGUGUUAUUUAUAUGUAACUUAAUUUUUUUGAAUGAUCUAAUUUAGGAGGAAUUGCAAAGAAAUUGAAGGAAGAUCGCUUGGAGUAAAAAAAAGUUCAAAAACAAGGGAAAAUUCAUGGCCUGCGAGAUUUCGCAGCCCAAAGGAAGCCCUUAUGAAAAUGGCCCUUGGCUGCAAAAUAAUUUCGCAACCCCCCCCCCCCCUCCCUUCUAAUUUCGCAGCUGCGAAAUGGGCUGCGAAAUCCCCAAAGCUUUAAAACUCCAAUUUUCACAGCCAAAGACCCAUUUCGCAGGAGGUUUCACAGCUGCGAAACCACUCUUUGGCACAUGAGUGCCAUUUCGCAGCCUUCCCCCUCAUUUCGCAAUUGCGAAAUGGGCUGCGAAAAUGCCCCUCCACUGCGAAAAUGCCUCUCUGUUACGAAAUCGCCUCUCCGCUGCGAAAAUUAAAACCGUCCCUUGGCAUCCAUUUUUAAACAUUAUAAAUUCCACAUUUCCUUUUAAACCGAUCAUUUGAACUUCAAAUAGGUGUCAUGAGCAACCUUCCAUCUGCUCCCAAAAACGAAUCUGAAGCACUCAAAAGGCUGCAAAGCUGUCAAAAAUCUCUUGUGGGCAAAUGAAACGGCACAAACCUUGAAGAACCAGUGGAAAAACAUAAAAUAAUGAGGCGCGGGAGGCACUUUUAAAAAAGAGCUUUGUAAACAAUUAAAAAGUAGUCAUUUUAAUUUAAUAUGAAUCAACGAAGCUCGACACAUAAAUGGAAAAUCACCCAGUUUCAGGAUAGCACAUUCUUUAUUUGCUUCAUCUGGAAGUGAAAAGGAAAAACGAGUCAACAUACAGUGAUGUACUUGUUUCAUUUGUCUCAUUAUCCAUCACUCCAUACUGUCCACACAAUUUUGCAUUGAUGCUGAUAAAUCCCUCUGACAAACAAAACAAGUGAACAAAUACCCUCCCUUGUACACCCUUGUACAUUUAGUACAUUAUCCUUGUACAAUUGGUGUAAAUGUCUUGUAUAGUUGCAGGAAUUCGACCUAGCUACAACUUAACGAGUUAAUAUGGACGGGCUAACCACAAUUCCAAUGCCAUGGUUGAGUGGAAAGGGGGCAAAUCAAACCCAAUUUAGGUUCUUAUUCAUCAUAAGUGUGCAACCACAUUACAAUGAAUGUGUACGUAGGGAAUUGAGGAAUCACUAUGUCCUAUGUUCCCCUUAGAAAAACGAAGUGAGAAAGCAAUUUUUCCAAGUAGUUCAAAUCCUUCAAGAUAGGUACCCUUGUAAACACUUGUACAGUUAGCACAUUUGCAUUGUACACUUAAUGUAAAUGCCUUGUACAAUACCGAAUUCCAACAUAGCUAAGACCGAACGCGUGCUUAUGGGUGGGUAAACAAUGUUUCCAUUCUCAUGGAUUAGGGACAAAGAGGAAAAGUUCACCCUUAUUUCGGUUCAUAUUCAUCAUUGGUAGAGGAGCAAAUAGAUGAAUUAACAUGGUGGACAUCAAAUAAAAUUAAUGGAAUGAGUAUGUUAAAAGAUAUUUCUUAAAAUCACUGACAAAUGAAAUAUAAAAAUUGUACCUAAAUAUCAUUAUUUAUUAUAUUCAACCUUAUAAUUCUACUAAGUUUGAAAGGUUCUCCCAAAUUUGACUAAUAUUUUAUCAACCAAAAGUUAUACUUUAUAUUCUAAAUAGAUUAAUCAUAAAAGUCACUAUAAUUCAUAUAAAUAAGAAUUAUACUAUAAAAAAAAAAGGAAGCCACCCAUUUUUUAUAUUUUUGUCGAUCAUCUCUGGUAUAAAAUUCCAAAUUUUGAAUGACAACAUUUACAAUUAUAGAAGUGUAAAUAUGAAUACACACAUGUUAUUUAUUGUUUUUUUACACGGAAGAUAAAGAUAAUUGUAGAUGAUGGUGAGGACUUAUAUUAUAUUCAUAAUUUUUUUAUCUUUUUCAAUUUCUAAUAAUUAUAGUAGAAUCCUUUUUUCUAAAUUUUAAGACUUUCUUGGAAAAUGUGAUACCAUAUAUAGUAUAAUCAAGAACCCUAUAUCAUGUGACAAAUGAUGCUAUAAAAAUUAAUGGAAGUGUAUGUGAUAUCCAUAGUUAAAUUUACUUUUUUAGAUUUAUUUUAUUUAAUAAAAAUCUCUUAUAUAAUUCUUGUUCAUUGUAUAACUUAUACCUUAUAAAGACUAUGUGGUCUAUUAACACCAUUAUUAUUCAAAACCUUUAACCUGUUAUUAGGUAAGUUUUACAACUUGGUCACGUCAAUCACUUUUACAAAUUAAUUUGAUGUUUUAUUUUUCAAAUAUUAAAAGGUGAUGUCAAUGAUAGAGAGAAGGAGGUGAUGUUGAUGUAAAUGAUGGAAAGAGAGUUGCAUUAAAUGAGAGAGAGAAAGAGGAAGAGAAAUAGGGGAAACUAAUUUUUAUUUUAUCAAUACAAGUAAAUAUUACUCAAGAUCCAAAAAAAGUUCAAAAAUAAUAAAAUUUGAUGAUUUGAAAAUUGUAAUUUAUACAUCUAUAUUUAUUGCUUUCCUCAUUUGUUUAUGUUAGGAUGGUUAAGUUAAAAGAAAUGUCAUGUUGAAUAUAAGAUACAUGCUCAAAAUUGUUAAAUUAUAUAUAAUGAUCAUAUCUAUAUUUUUAAAUAAAUAUAAUAAUCUAAUUAUAAUUUUUUAGAAAUUUUAUAAAAAAAUUACAAAAUUUAUAUAAGGAUUUUGGAAUCCUCAAACUUGAUAUUUUUUUGAAAUCUAGCUGGACUUGAAGAAGAUUAUUUUUUAUUUUUAUUUUUCAAUGUCCAUCCAAAAGUUAAUCAAGAAGUCAAAUAUCUUCACUAAUUUUCCCAUCUGAUUUCUUUUUUUAGAAUUUGUAUUUUACAAUUAAUAACACUUAUACUAUAUAACAUUAUUAUAAUCAUUUAUAAUUACUAAGUACAUAUAGGGCAUAAUAAAUAUGAAUAGGAAAAAAAAAGCAUAAAAAUAUUCAUAUGACAUAUUAGAAAAAUAUAGUCCAAGUUAACUAAAAACUAUUGUAAUAUCACUUUUAGAUGUAGUUUAGGUGAUAUCAAAAUCAUAGGAUCACAUUGGCAUAUGUUCCCUGUUGUAGUAUUAGCUAAUGAAUUUUAAUUUGCAACCAGUUUUUUUCACUCAUGAUAAUCUUCUAUUUUUCUAUUUUAAUUAUUAUUAACAAUAUAUUUCAAAAAUCAAUUUUUUUAGUGAGUUAUAAUUAAAGUGUAAAAGUAAUUUUGAAUUUUGAUGGUAAACUAAAAUUUUAUAAUUUUACAAGAGACAUUCAUAUUAAUUAUAAUAAUAAUAAUAAUAAUAGUUAAUUGAAAUUAAUAUUAUUCAAUUACUCUUAGACUUUAAUUUAAUUUAAUUAUUUUUAUUUAUAAAGUUAUAAUCCUAUUUUGAUUAUAAAAUAAUAACUAAUAUUAUUAUAAUAUGCAUUUGUGAAAAACUAAGUUUGAGGUAAGGAAUCUUUAUGCUUUAUGCUUUAGCUGUACAAAAUAAAUACUCAAAUGUAAAAGGAAAUAUAUUUAUAUAUAUUUUGAGAGGAUGUGAGUAUCAAAGUGGGUCAAUGUUCAUCAAUUACAAGAAAUAAAAUAUAGCUUUUGGAGAGUUAGUGGUGCAACACUAAGUAAGAGCAGUGGCUUUUUUUCCCUGUCCUUUCAUUCAUUAUGAGAACUGCAAGUCUAUAUGCCUAAAGAAGUGUUUGUUUAGAGCACAAUGAUGUUGUGAACGGGAGACAAACAAUCAAACCUUUUGGUGUUUGCUUGAAAGGGAGGGUUUGAAUUUACCAACUCGCAACUUGGAAGUUGGAACUAAGUUCAGUUGUUGAAACUGAGGGCUCAGGAAACUUCCACUGCGUACAACAAUUAAACAAGUCUAUUCAGAAUUUAUAAAAAUUUUCAAUCAAAAAAAAAAAAAACCAAUCCUUUAAUUAAGCACGUAGUACAUACCCAUAUAAUUCCUGAUUUUUAAUUUGUUUGUUUAAUAAUAUUUUUAAUUACUGUUACUCUUUUUUUAAUUUAAAUAUAAGUUAGAUUGCAUUUUAGUCCUCAUAUGAAUUCUCAUCACCAGUACACUUCAAAAGGCGUUGUGAUUUAUUAAGAAUAAAAUAUAAAUGAUUUAAAAGACUACCAACUUCUCAAGUUUAUAAUAUUUAUGGAGUUUGUGGGAGCAUGAAGACAUCAAUGUAGAAGAGAAGGCAAGACACAUCCAUAUCAACAGGAGCUUAGUUGCAAGCAUCGUCCAAUGCUUCAAUCAGGCAGAUUGAGCUUUUGUGUACACACUUAUCAGUAGCCCAGAGGAAAAGGACCCUACACUUUGCACUCUUCCAAAUCUUUUCUCAUGUUUUUUUUUUCAAAUUUACACGUUCCAAUCCAUUCUUUUCACUAUAUUAUAAAAUCUUUAUUAUUAAAUAAAUAUUUUUUUUAGACUCUCUCUCUUCAUAGCUAUUCAUUUCCUUACCUACUAAUUUCCUUACCAAAAAAUAGGGGACUGGUUUUGGGGGAAAUUCUCAUGUGUUUCUUUUGAGAGGUAGGUUUGAAAGGAUUUUUUAGGGAGCUUUCAGAAAAACAAAUGGGGUGAAAGAAAAGAAAGAAUAGAGAAAGAAAGAGACUUUGGGAGAAGGAGUUUGGACUGGUUUUUGGACAGCUCUGGGGAGGUUUUUUUUUGGAAACUGUGGAGAGCGAGGAAGGUCUGGACUGGUUUUUUUGGAGAUAGAGAGAGCAAAAGAAGCCGAGAGAGGAGGUAAGAAGCAAAGAAGAUAGGAUAGUGCUCUCAGGUAUAACCAUUAUAGCUCCCUACUCAUUUCAUUUUAUGAUACUACUCUUGAUCAUUUUACUGCAAUUAUUUUGAAUGUUGCCCUCUGCCUACCUUUUUGGAUCCUCUAGAAUGUUGUUCAUUUUUUAUUUUUUAGUUUUUGAGGUGAAGAGGAUUUAGAAGAUAGAGCCAAAAGAGGGGACUUACGGAUUGGUAGUAGGUGGUGAGAAGAUCUAGAGAUUUCUCUCUUUUUUGAGGAGAUUUAAAAAUAACAAUGCUUUGACAUGAAGAAUUAUUGCAAAGGUCAUGAAUAAGGUUAAAUUCGUAGGAUUUUUGGGUAUAAUUGACAGGGCACAAUGGACUUAAUUAUAUAUGUUCAAUUUGGAUUCCAUUUUAUGUGUUUCUCAUGGAAAAUGAAUGUGGUGCAAGAGACUCUAAUAUGAUAAUUUUUAAGAAUUUUCUUAUAUUACAAAAGUUUCUAAAUAUUUACAGUAGAUAUCUUUGUUGUGCAUGUUGUAUAAUUUUAACCUCUUCUUAUCAAUUUUCAUUCAUUGAUACAAAGAAUAUUGGUUAUCUUAAAGAUCAAUUCUAUAUACAUAAUUAAAAUUAACAGCUAGUUUCUUGAUCUUCUAACAAUUUUCCUCUCCAUUUGUUAUGGUCUUGUCUUGUAGACUUGUUGAGUGGUUGUUGAGUAGCUGAUAUUUCUUUGCAUUAAGGUUAGUAAUAAUUUGGGCUUCACUUCUUCUUAUAUUUGAUUAUAUGCUUGAUAAUUCAAUUUGUGAAGUAUGUUUUCCUCUUUUUUGUUAUGCAUCAAAUUAGUUGAUUGAUCAGAAUAUUUUAUUUCUUUAUAUGAAUCUAAAAAUACAUACUUAAAUUUAAAAAAAUAUUUCUAAUAGUGAUAGCAUGUUAAUAUUCAUAUAUGUAGUAUUUAUUUUCAAUUUUUUUCCCUUAUAUAGGAAAUACUUAUUAUGUUUUACUAAAUUAUUUAUGAUAUUAAAGGUUCAAUUAAUUUAGCAUAUUAUUAUGAUUAGAAAAUUGUGCUAAGAACAAAAAAAGGGCUAUGUGUCACAUACUACCUUGAGGUUGUUGAAUCAUUUUUUUAUUUAUGAAAUAUAAAGGACAUUCUCUCUUAUCUAUAUGGUUAUAAUGCAUCAGUUUUCUUGCUGAGUUUCCUAGUUAAUCCGAAUCACUAAAUUGCCGCACAAAUGCUGAUUCGCAACAUGUGACCUUAUUUAAAAAAUCUUGCAAAUUAUAUGAUUUGUUUUAGAAGCCUUCUUGAACACAUGCAUAUGUACCUGAUUUACAAAAAAAGUUAAAGAAGUAAAUUUCUCAUUUUUAUUCUUCAUAUAUGCAUGCAUAAAACCUUAGACUUCCGUUCAAGUAUCUUUGUGUGACAAAUUUUUUUCUUAUUACAUGUUAGAGACAUUAAAGUUGUCAAAGAGUGAAAAUGGUCCUAUCAAUGAAGUAGUUUCAAAUUGACAACUUCUUAAUUUGUCUAACAUGUGAUUAAAAUUUUGUCUACAAAUUAUGCUUGAAUUGUCCGAUUGGACAGUAUAGGAUAACAUAAUGUCAAAGAGUGAAAAUGGUCCUAUCAAUGAAGUAGUUUCAAAUUGACAACUUCUUAAUUUGUCUAACAUGUGAUUAAAAUUUUGUCUACAAAUUAUGCUUGAAUUGUCCGAUUGGACAGUAUAGGAUAACAUAAUGUCUAUGAAAUCACCCUCAUAUGCUUCGUUCAUUUCUUAAAAUUUCGAUAACAUUUCCUUUUAUUCUCUGGGUGCAUAUUUGGACAAGGUUAAAUAAUGUCUUGCCCAUUUUGUGUACUUAGAGAACUAUGGGGAAAUCCUGUCGAAAUUUUGUUGAAGUAAAACAAAGCUUAUUAGUGGUUGAGUCAUAGGGAUUAUGCAUUCCUAUAUGGAAUAGGAACUACAACCUAAAUUAGGAAGUUGAAUAUAUUAGAAUGCAUAAGACACUCAUCAUAUGUUGAUAUGCUCAAAUUACUUUUUUUUUUUGUGUAUUCUUAAAUCAUCAUGGUCCAUUUUUAUUAUAAUUUUUAUUUAUAAGGUUUAUGUCUUAGGUAGAAAAUUUAUAAACUUAUUUUUUUUAUUCUAAUAUGAACCUUAAGAUUCUCUCUUUGUUGUUGAGAUUUUAACUUUAAGAAUAAGAUUCUAGAAGGCCUACAACACAAAGUUAAGAUUCAAUGUAAUUUGUUUUAGAAGCUUUUUGUAACUAUAUUGGUAUAAAUUUUAACUUUUUUUUUUCUCUACAAUUUUGAUCUUUCAUAGUCAUACCUUUAGAGAAAAUUACUAACAUUGGAAUGCGAAUUAUAACUUAUAUCUUCCUUCUAUUUAAUGUUAGGUAGAAUAAUAAGUACUUUAAUAUUGUCUUUAUGUGUUUAUUAAGACAUCAUAUUAUAAUUCAUGAAUCUAUAGUGUUCACUACUUCUUAGUUGGUUGUUAUUUAAGUGAGCAUUGACAUUAUAAUGAUCGUAUCAUUGGUUGAUAAUCCUUAUUGAACUUCCCCUAUGAUUUUUCUUUUCCAAAUUUUUUAUGGAUUAAUUAAUUACAUUGUUGGUUUUUCUUUACCUUUUGUUGGUUGUUUUAAAUUGAUGGUCUUGAGUUUCUAUCAAUAAUAUUUACCUAGAAUCGUAACUUCAAGAUCUAAUGCAACAUACAGGAACUACUAUUAACGCAUAUAGCUACCAAGCUCAUUAAGGAAUAAGGAUUUCAUAUAUGUGAAAAUAGGAAUUUGCCUAUGCAAAGAACAACACCUCACCUUUGCAUCAUUCUAUCACAAGAUAAACUAGUUGUGCAUGAGCAAUUUCUUUACUUUAUAUGUGUGAGUAUGACCAUGUAAUAGCGAGACUAUGACCACAUUGUUUUCACUUAAUUUAUCUCAUUUCCUUAUUUCACAUAUAUACUAAUAUGCAUACAUACUUACAUACAUAUGUGUGUGUGUGAGUCUAAAUUUAUGUCUAUACAUCAUUGAUGAUUGUAUCAGAUCUAAGAAGAUGGAUAGGAGUUGGAUGCAACUACAAAAUAGACUUUGUAAUGAAUAUGUUGAAGGUGUGAGAACAUUUAUUCAGGCAGCAAAGCAACACUUAAGAGUGGAUAAUAAGACACGUUGUCCAUGUCGACAGUGUUUAAAUGUAAGAUUCCAAGAUUUGAUCAUAGUUGAACAACACCUAAUUAGAUAUGGGUUUUCAAGUAGUUACAAUAGAUGGAUACAUCAUGGUGAUGAAGUUGAAGGUGUUUCACAUGCGCAACCUGAUAUGUGUAGUGAUAGUAAUGGGUGUGCGAUCAAUGACAACUAUGUUGAUGAUGAAAUUAAUGAUGCAAUAAAUGAUAUGCAUGGGCCAAGAAAUAAAGAAGCUAACUCGAAUGAAUCUAUUGGUCAUGAAAUAGGUAGAAAUGGGAAGAAUAUUGAUUAUUUGUUUAGUGAAGCUCAUCGAGAGUUGUAUCCAGGUUGUACUAAGUUCUCAGCUUUGAGUUUUCUUGUAAAGUUGAUGCACAUAAAGGUUCUUAAUCGAUGGAGCAAUAAGUCAUUUGACAUGUUACUCGAACUACUACUUGAUGCUUUUCCAGACGGAGCAAACAUUCCAAAAUCACAUUAUGAUGCGAAGAAGAUGUUGCGAGAUUUUGGUUUAGGAUAUGAUUCCAUUCAUGCAUGCAAGUAUGAUUGUUCAUUAUUUUGGAAAGAGAAUGAGACGUUUCACAAUUGUCCCGUGUGUAAUGAACCAAGAUAUAAAAAUGGAAAGAUCCCUCAGAAAGUGUUACGACAUUUUCCAUUAAAGCCAAGGCUACAAAGAUUGUUUAUGUCAAGAUAUACACUAACUGAUAUGCGAUGGCAUAAGGAAAAAAGAUUCCAUGAAGAUAGAGUGUUGAGGCAUCUGGCAGAUUCAGAGGUAUGGAAGGAUUUUGAUAAUCAAUAUCCUUGGUUUGCUUAGGAUGCUAGAAAUGUGAGGUUAGGCCUUGCAACUGAUGGUUUCAAUCCAUUUGGUACUAUGAGUAACAACUAUAGUAUGUGGCCAAUUGUCCUUGUGCCAUACAAUAUGCCACCUUGGAAGUGUAUGAAAGAAAGUUUUUUCAUGAUGUCAUUACUUAUUCCUGGGCCACAUGCUCUAGGUAAGGAUAUUGACAUAUACUUACGCCCUUUGGUAGAUGAGCUUAAAGAGUUAUGGCAUGAUGGUGUCCAUACAUUUGACAUGUCAAGUGGAGAUUAUUUUCGCAUGCAUGCAUGUCUACUAUGGACUAUACAUGACUUUCUUGUUUAUGGAAACUUGUCUGGUUGGAGCACAAAAGGGUAUAAGGCAUGUUCUACUUGUAAUGAAGACACAUCCUCACAGGGCAUUAGAAGCAAAAUAUGUUAUAUGGGCCAUAGGAGAUUCUUACCUCUUAAUCAUAGUUGGAGAAGGAGUCGACAACAUGAUGGUAAGCCUGAACAUAGACCACCACCUAAGACACUAUCUAGUGAGGAUAUUUUACAACAAUUGUCUCAUGUUUAUUAUUCUAGGCCUGGUAAGCAUAUAAAUAAUAAAGACAAGAAAAGGAAACGAGGGCCUGAAGAAUUAAAUUGGACGAGGAAGAGUAUUUUUUUUGAGUUGGAGUAUUGGUCAAAAAUUAAGAUGAGACAUAAUAUUGAUGUCAUGCAUGUUGAGAAGAAUGUCUGUGAUAAUGUGGUCAAUACCUUGUUGAACAUUGUAGGGAAGACUAAAGAUACUAAGAAAGCUCGUUUGGACUUGGCCGACAUGAAGAUAAGGAAUGAGUUACAUCUUUAAUUGAAAGGAAAUAAGCUAUUAAAACCCCAUGCAUGUUAUACCUUGACUUUCAAAGAAAGAAAAGAAUUUUGUAAGUUUCUAAAGUCAGUCAAGUUUCCAUAUGGUUAUGCAGCAAACAUAUCUAGAAAUGUAAACAUUAGCGAUGGGAAGAUUUUAGGGUUAAAAUCUCAUGAUUGUCAUGUCUUGCUUCAACAGCUUCUCCCUGUUGGUAUUCGUCCUUACUUAAAUAAGGACAUAUGUACUGCAUUGGUUGAAUUAUCUGGAUUCUUCCAAAAGUUAUGUGCUAAGACAUUGUACGUUGUGGACCUAGAAAGAUUAGAGGAAGGAAUUGUCAUAAUAUUGUGUAAACUUGAAAAGAUAUUCCCUCCAGCUUUCUUUGAUAUUAUGAUCCACUUAGCGGUGCAUUUACCUCGUGAGGCUAAGCUUGCUAGACUAGUAAGCUAUCGGUGGAUGUAUCCAUUUGAGAUGUAUUUUACAUACAUUUAACUAUAUUAAAAAAUAAUGAAAUUUAUGUAAUGUUAUCAUGUGAUAAAUAAAAUUAUUUUUUUUUUGGUACUCUUCUUUCAUAUUUAGGAACUUGGGCACCUUAAAAAAAUAUGUUAGAAAUAAAGCUCGACCACAGGGUUCAAUUGCUGAAGCAUACACUAUGAAUGAAGCUUUAACAUUUUGUUCAAUGUACCUUCAUGGAAUUGAAACUUGUUUCACUCGAGAUGAAAGGAAUGAGGAUAAUCGAGAAUAACAAGCUAGUGGCCAUUUAUCUAUUUUCUCACAACAAGCACGACCAAUAGGUGGUCGACAAUUACAACAACUUUCGAAAGAAGAAUUGGAAAAGGCACAUUGGUAUGUCAUAAACAAUUGUUGUGAGUUGCAACCCUAUUUAGAGUAAGUGUUAACCAAUCUUGUGCGAGUUGUUUAAAUAUGUUUUUUUUUAGAGCAUUUGUGUAAUAUAACACCUUAUAUACACACUUUUGUGAACAAUGCACAUGUAGUGAGCACUUGGAUGAGUUACGAAGGAUAAGUGCUUCAAAUUUGGAGUUGGAACAAGAAAAAUAUUUUCCUAAGUGGUUUAAAGAUCAUGUAAGUUAUUAAUCAUGUCUUUCAUAUUUCUUAAUGGUAGAGUAUAUAUUUUAACAACAACAAUUAAAAUGCAUUUUUCUUAUUACAGAUGAAACAAAUGCGUAUUAAGCAUCCAUUUGAAGUCACGAAAGAACUAUAUUCAUUGGCAUGUGGACCAGAUGCUCGAAUUCACACAUAUACAGGAUGUAUUGUAAAUGGAGUUCGUUUUCACACAAAAGAUCGUGAUGAUCAUCGAAUUACCCAAAAUAGUGGCAUUUGUGUUUCAGGGGAGCAUGAUGGAGAAAAUGUUAAUUUUUAUGGUGUUUUAACCAAUGUGCUGGAACUAGAUUAUUUAUUUGGGUAUAAGAUUAUCCUUUUCAAGUGCAAGUGGUUUGACACAAAUCACCAAAGGAAAAAAAUACAACAAGAUCCACACUUUACCAUCAUAAACAUUAGUUCUACUUGGUAUGAAAAUGAUCCAUUUGUACUAGCUACUCAGGCUCAUCAAGUGUUCUAUCUUGAUGAUUAUAAAAAUGGCCAAAAUUGGAAAGUUGUGCAAAGGGUUCAACAUAGACACUUGUGGGAUAUUUUAGAGGUGGAUAGUAAUAUAGAAGUUGAUGCAAAUUUUGACGAGACAAACAAAGAUGAUGCUUACCAAGAAAAUGAGUCAUGUGAUAUUGAAUGGUCAUUUGAACUAGAUGAUCAAUUAGAACAUUUUGAUCGCAUUAAUGUUAAUCCAGAAGUCAUAAAUAAUAACAUUUUGUGUAUGGGUGAUAGAAAUGAUGAUGGUGAUGAUGAUUUCAUAUGCGAUGAUAUAAUAGAAGAAGUUAUCAUUGUUGAUAAUGAUAACAUUGUGGAGGAGUGGCUUUCAAGUGAAAGUGAGAGUGACUAAACAUGCAAGUAUAAUAUUUAAAUGAUAAUAUGUUUUCCAUUAUCAUGUUUUACUAAUUCAUUUGAUCUUUACAUAUAUAUGUUUUAUUCAAAUUUCAUUAUUUUAUUGAUUACAAGUUCUCACCUUAUUAAUAAUAGCUUCCUUUCUAUAUUCAUAUUUUCAGCAUAGUUGUAGAUGGCUCCUAGAAAAAGACCACGUCCACCUAUCAUACCUAAGUAGUUUGAGGAUAAUGUGAAUGUAGGUCAUAUUGAUUUUUAAUUAAAAUUAACUUGUUAAAAUAUAUGUUUGACAUUUUUUUUGUUUAAUGAGUUAAUGAUGUCAAAUUAACACUUAUACAUUAAAAUGCUCAGCACAUAAGAUGACAAAGAAUGACAUUCAAAGACUUAGUACUGAUCAACUCAGCCAAGGUCAAGAAGGUAUUCCUCCGUUAGUGCAAACUAGUGGGACAUGUAGGAGGUUAAACACCAACCUCACAAUGGAAAUGAUUUUUGACACAGGUAAAGAAGUUGAACUUCAAUGUGCAAGUUGAUGUUGCUCAUACUAGCCUCAACAGAAACUCCACAAGUAAGCAUGAAUGUUUAAUUGGUUUAAUUAGAUAUGUUGAAAUAAAAAAUUGAUUUUUAUUUUUUAUUUUUUUAUUGUUGCAGAUGUAACAAUAUUGAAGGUAUAAAAAUAUAAACUUAGUUAAGUCCCUUUGUAAUUGAUAAAUUUAUUAUUAGAGAUUUAAUGUAUUCAUUUUAUUUCAUAUGUAUAACUAGAUCAAAUUGCUAUACAUUUAACUUCAAUGACUUAAUUUCUAUUAAUUGAUAUAAUUUCUUAAUGCUUAGCACGUAAGAUGACUUAUAAUGAUAGCAAGAGAGGAGGCAUAGACCGACAACUUCAAGGUGUUGGGAAUCUAGAGAAAACUACAACUAAUGCGACAUUGCAAGCCAAUGGAACACAUAGUAGGCAUCAAAACAACUCCACAUGUAAGCAUAUUGAACUAGUUUAAUUAGAUAAGUUACCUCAUAAUUUGAAAUUGUGAUUGUUUCAUUACUGUUAUAUACUUACUAGUGCUAAAGCUAUAAAAGCGUAAACUUGGCUAACUCCAUUUGUAUUUGCUCUAUUCAUUAUCUUAAAAUCCAUUCCUUUUUAUUUGAAAUAUAACUAAACUAAAGUGUUAUAAUUUAUUUGUAUGAAAGAAAAAAAAUACCUAUAUUAUUUAUUAUUAUUUUAAAUGUAUUAGACUAUAUUAUGAAAAAUAUGCUUUGCAAAAUCAUUGUUUAUAGAAACCAUCUUGGUGUUGAACAACAUCAUAUAUGUCAUUAAUUAAUUUGUAUAAUUUCUCAAUGCUCAGUACGCAGGAUGCCGUGUAGUGAUAGUCAGAGAGUUGAUACAUUUCUACCUAUGCAAGAUAUUGAGAAUGGAGAUGACACCCCAAUUCCCCCUCCAACAUUGCAAGAUUGUGAGACACCAAGAAAUGUUAACAAAAGCUCAACUCGUAAGCAUGUUGAAUUGGUUUAAUUGGAUAGGUUAAAGAAAAUUUGGAAUUUUUCUUCUUGUUGUCAUAGACUUAGCAAUAUUAAAUCUAUAUAGGUAUUAAAAAAACUUUAACUUUAUUUUUGAAAUAUAGUCAAAUUUAGUCUAAAUUAUGCUUUAUUAGUAUGUUUGUUUAACAAAUUUCUUUAUGUUCAAUGAAGUUAUAUGUGCUAAUUAAUUCUUAUAAUUUUCUAAUGCUCAGCUUGAAGGAUGACUCGUAGUCACAGUCGGAUAGUUGGUAUAGAUGAACUCAUGCGGGGUUUUGGGAAUGUAGAGGACACCAUAGCCCCUGCAAUAAUGGACACGAGUGAGACACCUUUUGAUCCCAAUAACAACACCUCUACCAUGGAUGCUGAUUCUACCACUGGUAAGGAUGUUGGAUUAGUUUAUAUAUGUAUAUAUAUACAUAUAUAUAUAUAUUCAACAGGUUCAGUUGCAUCACCUGAAAUUAUUAAUUUUCAUUGUUUAAGUUGCAUUGAAAUUAAAUGAACUUUCUACUAAUAUAAUUUAAUCACAACAAACAUUUGAGACUUUAGUGUACAUAUGGAUAUACUUCUAUGUAAGUUAGAUUAUCUUAUGGAAAACAUCAUAAAUAGAGAUUAAUCAAGUUUAUGUGCAUUACUUAAGAAACACAUUAAUUUUCAUAGUUUUUUAUUUAAGUUGAAACAAAAUUAGAUGAUCUUUGUACUAAUAUAAUUUAAUCACAACAAACAUUUGAGACUUUAGUGUUAUGAAAACAUUUUAUUGGAUUCACUUCUAUAUAGUUAUAAUAUAGAAAUUAUCUAUAUAAGUUGGACUACCUUAUGGAGAUUUUAAUAAAACAAUUACUAUAACAACAUUCUAUUUGUUUUUACAAAUAUUUUAUGUGAACUAAUUAUUGUUAAUGAUCAAUGCAUAGGACGUAGGAAAGUUCGGGGGGACAGUCGAGGUGUUAGGACAGACAAAUUGAUCCAAGCAAAUGGAAGUCGACCACUUGGUGGGGUUGAGAUUAAACCUGAAAAUAAUGCUCCGAUUGGUGUCAACAAUAGUAGAAUGAAAUCUGAAAUAGGAACCAUUGUAAGAAAUUAUGCACCAUUGGACGUUGAGAAGUGGGCUGAUAUAUCAGAAAGUGACAAAGUUUUCAUGAUGGAGAAAUUGCAGGUAUGAUGCUUGAAAAUAUUCCUAAUUUGAUGCAUAAUUUUUCCAUUACUAAUUAGGUUUAGUAAUGAAAUGAUAAUUUAUAUGUUAUAUGUAUACCUAUGCAUGUAUAUGAGUGAAAAUUAAUGUAGACCUUUUUGACUUAAAGUUAGAAAUGUUAAAUGAGUGUUAUACUAAUUUAAAAUUUGUGAGCUUGCUAUUUGUUAGAUUUGCUUUGGUAUUGAUACCAUAUGGGUGUAUGUUUUUGCAUUAUUAUUGUUGUUGUAAUUAUUAUUAUUAUUAUUAUGGUAAUUUGACUUCCAUUUUUGGAAGAUGUGAGAUGUAAAAUUUUAUGUUAUAUUACAAAACAUAUAUAUUAGUUUGAGCCUAUGGAAAACAAUACUUUAUCAUUAUUUUCCAUUUUCUCCUUAGAGGUAGAGGCAAAUAAAAAACUAUUCCAUGUAGAUUAAAUAACCAACUAAAAGUCGUAGUUAAUUUCUAGUCCUCGUUUUACCAUAUUAAUGCAUUCUAACGUUAAAUUUUGUAAGCAUGUGAUCUUUAUAAUUUUAUUACCUUCUAUUUUAUCCAUUACUAUCCUUACACUAUCAUGAUUUAUUCUAAUUAUAAAGGUUUGUAAUCAUCUCCAACUAAAAUCCCAUAUAGAGUUAACUUGUCCUAUUUUUUCUUAUAUUUUUUUCAUUCUCUCUAAAAUAUCUAAGUAUUAGUCCACUAUGAAUAAUAAUAAAUCAACUUUAGUUUAUUGACUAACCUUUCUUUGGUUAAUAAUCUUACUGGCUUAGCUAAUUGUGACAAAGAAUAAGAAAAAUAUCUAACUAUUGUACUAAAAGUUUUAUUUAUAAAUUUCAAUUGGUCAUCUUAUUUGCUUAGAAGCUUAAAUAUUUCUUACUUCACUAUUUGUGUUCUAGGAAAAGUUUAUAAUUGAUUUUACUCAAGAUCAUGUGAAAAAGGCUAUAGAAGGCAAAAUGGCUGCAAGAUACAGAGAUCACAUAAACAAGUGCCACAAGCAUUUCAAGAAGUACCCAACAAUAGCUUUGGCAAAUCAGAAUCCAUAUAAGCAUGUUAGUGAUCAAAAGCAGUGGGAUUGGUUAUGUGAUAGAUUUGCCUCAGAAAAAUUCCAGGUAAAGAUUUCAUCAAAAUCUUGUUUGGUUUGCUUUAUCAUGUUUAACAUGAUAUUAUAUUUUAAUAUUGAUACUUUGAUCUUAACUUUUAAUCAUAAAGCAACGCUCAACAUUGAACACUGAAAACAGAAUGAAGUUACCUUUUACUCAUCGAGGUGGAUCACGGUCCUUUGUACAACAUGUGGAAGAAUUGGUAAAAUUAAGAGAAAUUAUGUUAUUUUUAUUAAUGCUUUUAAAUUGUUGAUUACUGUACUUCACAAAUGAUUUAACUUUAUUCUUUAGUUUAAUGAGAUAUAUCCACUUUUAUCUUUGGAAAUAAUUAGCUUAUUAAAUGCUUAAUAUUGUCUUUAUUGUAUUGAAUCAUGUGUUGGAUCUAAUAUUUUGAUUCCAUCCUUUAACUAAAACUAUUGUUAUUAUGUAUAGAUUUUGGUCAUUGAAAGCUAUGGUGCAUUUCAUUACAAUUCCAUACUCUUAAGACUUGGUAUGAAUGACAAUAUUAAAUAUUCUUCUACUUGCAUGUUUUCGUUAGCCUUGAGUUUAAUGUUCAUUUGUAAAACAAAUAUAUGUCUAUACAAUGAUCACUAUGUUAAACUUGAAGUAGGAUAGUCUUUUUUUAUAUAUAAAUAUCGAAUUCCAUACUCUUAAGACUUGGUAUGAAUGACAAUAUUGAAUAUUCUUCUACUUGCAUGUUUUCGUUAGCCUUGAGUUUAAUGUUCAUUUGUAAAACAAAUGUAUAUCUAUACAAUGAUCACUAUGUUAAACUUGAAGUAGGAUAGUCUUUUUUUAUGAUGUUAACAUUACUUUAUACAUUAGAAUAAGUCCAUAGUAGCUAUAAUAAGGAUGUAUUUUUUUAAUAUAUUUUUAGGAUGAAUUUAAGGCAAUGAAAUUGAAUUGUUAAAUUUAUAUUUUUGUUGCUUGUAUAUGUAUGUUAUUAAGAAAAUAAAGGAAUAGUCAACAACUUAAGUAGGUGUCAAUAAAAACCAUGACUAGAAGGCAUGUAUACUUGUAGCAAGAAGAUUUCAGCUUUUACUAGUUGUGGUAGUAAUUUCUUGGGAAAAAAAUAUGGACCAUUUGUGAUUUUUCAAAAAUAAAGAAAGACAUAUAGCCAAGGUACUAUUAUAUUCAUAACAUAGAAGGGUUCUAGAUAUGACAUGUCAUGGGCUAUGAAAAUAGGCCUAGUAUGGUCAAGGCAUGUUAAGCCUUGACCAUAGGGUUCCUUUAUAAAACCAAUUUUUGCAGCCUUCUUUUUUCAGUAGGUGUACACAUUUGUAGAGAUGAUUUAUCCCUUCAAUAUUAUGGAUUUGUAUUAUACAUAUAGAUCAUUCAAAAAGAUUAAGUUACAUAUAAAUAACACAACUUAAGACCAAAAUUAAAAUCAAAAGAAUUAAUAAAUCUUUUAAAUUAACAAAAUUAAACAAAAAAUAUGGACUUUGGUGAAACCAAGUCCAUCUAACCCUUUUCUAAUAGAGGUUUCUUUGGGUUUUUCUUUCCAUCACUACUUUCAUCCGGCUCCUUUCAAAAACCUUUCAACUAUGUUUCACUUUUUCUAUAUCUCUAUAUGUAUAUAUUCAUAACUAUUGUUUGAAUUAGAGAUUUUAAAUUAUUGGUUAAUUUAUGAUUUUGGUGAAUGAUGAAACCUUGACCACUUGCAGCUAAGGGUUUGAAUUAGAUUGUGUAUUAUACCAUGCUUUUAAUUGAAUUUUGAUCUUUCCAUCAUUCUGAUUUUUAAUUUUGCAGAUAGUUGGUAUUUGUAGUGUUAGAUCUAAGGUUUAGAGUUUUUCUACGUUUAGCAUUUCACAAUGAACUUAUUUGGCCUUUGUUGAUUACUUUGAUCAAUUUUUAUACUUAUUUGCACAUACCUUUCAUGUCAUGCAACCAAAUUGUAUAUUUUAUGUUCUAUCUAAUAUUCUAGAUAUGUUUCUUGAUUUGUUUUCCUUUUAGAAUAGGGAGUUUGACUUGUAAAUUUUAUAAUAUGCAUUUUUUUCUUUAUACAAAGCAUAUAUAUUUGUUUCUUUCUUUUUAAGUGAGUCAAUUUAUUAUAAAUAUCAUAAUUUUGGCUAGAAAAAUAAUAAUAUAACAAAAAUUAGAUUAUAAUACAACAUUAAAAAAUGACUUACUUUAUAUUACAAUAAACAUAAAAUAAAAAUCUGGUUGUUUAACUUGCAUAAGAGAUCUUUCUUGUGUGACUCAUGAAUUUUGAUCACCAUGGAUGCAAAUUUAUUUGAGAGGUUCUAUAUAGUUUAUUGUUUCUUAAAAUUAUAUUUAUAUUUUUUUUUUACUCAUUCUUCAUGUUAUUAUCUAGGCACGACACACCGGACAAGCACCAGGACAAAUAGAACUUUUCAAGUUAAUGCAUUGGAAUUCUCAAAAUGGUUGGAUAAACCAAGAAGUAGAGGCUUCUUAUGUAAGUUUUCUUUAUAGAAUCUUCAGCUUGCUUAUUUUUUUAUUUAAAUAUGAUUUUCAAUUUGUUUCUAACUUGUAGCUUAAGUAGGUCACUAUACAAAAUUAGUUUUUCACAUUAUGUAAUUUUUUUAUUUUCAUUUGACCGAGUUUAAAAAUGAUAGAUAAAAAUGAAUUAAAUUGGUCUUAUUAAAUUUUGUGAUUCUAUAUAUAGUAGGAAAAUUUUAUGAAAUUCUAUAGAAAUUCAUAUGAACCUUCCAAAAAUUUGCCAUAGUCAUAAAGAACAUGCUAUGAAACUUAAGCAAAUUGUUUUUUUUCAUGAAAUUCUAUAGAAAUUUAUAUGAACCUUCCAAAAAUUUGUCAUAUUCAUAAAUAACAUGCUAUGAAAAAGUUUCAAUUUUUUUUUUCAUGAAAUUCUAUAGAAAUUUAUAUGAACCUUCCAAAAAUUUGCCAUAAUCAUAAAGAACAUGCUAUGAAACUUAAGCAAAUUGUUAUAUAUAUAUAUUCUCUUUUUGCAAUAAAUUAUAGUUGAAUUAGCCAAGUUGCCUAUUGAAAAUAUUUUAUUUAAUUAGUUUGUGUUUUACAUUAUUUUACAUUUUUUUUUUUUUUGUAUUUGUAGGAAAAAAUGUUAGAAUUGCAAAAGCAACCAAUGCUAGAAGGUGGUCAAGCCUUGAAAGAGGCUGAAAUAUGUGUUCAAGUGUUAGGGUUAAGAUCUGGAUAUAUCAAGGGCUUAGGUCAUGGCCCUCGACCACCCUCAUCCUCAUCGAAAUCUACACAUAAGUCACAUCGAGAGAUAGAAUUGGAGAAUGAGCUUAAAGCAACACGAGAGCUUUUACAAAGUCAAGAGACUCGAAUCCAGCACCAGCAGUCCCAGAUAGCUCAAUUAGCUAGUUUUGUUAGUGAAAUGCGCCAACACAUGCAUAUUCCAGGAUCAAGCUCAAGAAGUUCAUCUCCUUCAGAUGAUACACUGCUUAUGGAUUCUUAGUCAAACUUCAUGGAUGAUGAUUGACAUUUUCUCCAUUAACACUUGGUUUGGAGUUUUUUUGGACAUUAUCUUUCCUUGACAUGUAUAUAUGGUACUUUUAUUUACUGCAUUAUUUUUUUUUGGAUGUUAUCACAUUUUGUAAAUGUGUUAUUUUUGUGGCCACAUUUUGCACAUGUGUUAGUUUUGUUAUCACAUUUUGCAUAUGUGUUAGUUUUGUUAUCACAUUUUGCACAUGUGUUAGUUUGCUUGCUACAUAUCAAUCUUUACUAUUUUUUAUUUUUAUUUUUUUAUGUUAUCACAUUUUGCACAUGUGUUUGUUUGCUACUUUUCUUUUACUUUUAGAACUUAUAACAUUUUACAAAUGUGGAUGUCAGUGCUUACUAUUUAUUUAUUUAUUUUGUAUAUGUGAAUAUACCAAAACUCUUUUGCAUUCAAUGGAAUAUUAUCAAUUAUUUAUUAAAGCUUUGUUGUCACAUAAUUUAUUUAUUCAUUUGGAGUUUUUAAUUAUCAAUUAUGUAAUAAAUUAAGUUAUAACAAAAUUUAAUUGUUUAAUUAAGUUUUAUAAUUUAAAUUUAAAUUUAAAAAUUGGAAUAUAUCAAUUGAAUAUAUUAAAAUAUGAUGACAAAAUUAUUAUAUACAUAUAGACAAAAGUUCAUAUGUUUAGAGCCAUUUAUUUAUUUUUUUUGUUAAAAUAUGACCUGAACUUCCAACGAGGAAAUAAAGUUUUGUUUCAAAAUCCAUUUGGCAACAAAAUUAUAAUUUUGGUCAUUGUAUGUGUCUAAUUUGGCGACAAUUUAAUUGAUUAUCGAGAUUUUUUAGCAACAAAAUUUUGAACAUUUAACAACAAAUCUUUUCGUCAAAAAAUAUUAUUGGAGACAACAAAAAAAUUAUGUCUCUAUAAACUAUUAGAGGCGAAACAUUAAAUUUGUUGCAAAAACUUUUCGUGACGAGGAUAAGGCGACGUUCGUGAAACAAAAAAAAAAUUCUCGCAAAAAUGUUUUUGCGAUAAUAUUAACUUUUUUGAGAUAAAAUAAUUGUGUCGCUAAUAAUCAUAUAUCUUGUAGUGUAUAUAAAGCAACCAUUGAGCCCUUCAUCCCCACACAAAUCUUCGUCACCUAAGCUAGCUGCCAAACUCACCCGACCAUUUUCAUUACAUUCAUUGUUCAUUACUCGGAGCCUACAGCCAUGGCUUUUGUAGCUCUUAUACUCGUGUCCCUCCUUCUUACUCCUUUCGUUUCUGUUCACUUCUCCGAUGAUGUAAAAUCAUGGUGCAGCCAGACACCCCACCCUCAACCUUGUGAAUACUUUCUGAGCCAUAAGCCUGAUCACUCACCCAUCAAACAGAAGUCUGAUUUUCUCAACAUAUCAAUGCAACUUGCUUUGGAACAUGCCAUGAUUGCUCAUGGUGACACCUUUUCCCUAGGCUCCAAGUGUCGGAAUGAGCGAGAAAAGGCUGCAUGGAAUGAUUGUCUCGAGCUCUAUGACCACACCAUUCUUAAGCUCAACAAAACUCUUGAUCCCAACACUAGGUGCACCCAAGCUGAUGCUCAAACAUGGCUCAACACUGCUCUUACCAACCUCCAAACAUGCCAAGACGGGUUCAUCGACCUUGGUGUGUCAGGUCACUUUUUGCCCUUAAUGUCCAACAAUGUUUCCAAGUUGAUUAGCAACACUCUAUCCAUCAACAAAGUUCCAUAUUCUGUGCCUACUUACAAAGGGGGUUACCCAACUUGGGUGAAGCCUGGCGACCGAAAGCUUUUGCAGUCUUCUUCUCUAGCUUCGCAGGCAAAUAUUGUGGUGUCCAAAAAUGGUACACAUGAUUACACAACAAUAGGAGCAGCAAUCACUGCAGCAUCCAAGCGAUCAGGAAGUGGAAGGUAUGUGAUAUAUGUGAAGGCAGGGACAUAUAGUGAGAAUGUUCAAAUUGGAAGUGGUUUGAAGAAUAUAAUGUUGCUGGGUGAUGGGAUUGGAAAGACCAUAGUCACUGGAAGUAAGAGUGUGGGAGGAGGCUCUAUUACAUACAAUUCAGCUACAGUUGGUUAGUGUCUCUGUCUAUUCUCUAAGCUCUUGCAAUGAUGUUACUCCUUGUCUUACAAUUAAGGGCCACAUACAAGCAUUAAGUUAAUUACCAAGACAUGUGAUUGUGCUUUUGAAUUUCAGCUGACGGCUUCAUAGCUCGUGGCAUGACAUUCCGUAACACUACUGGAGCAUCCAACCACCAGGCAGUGGCUCUACGAUCCGGGUUGGACCUUUCAAUUUUUUACCAAUGUAGCUUUGAAGGGUACCAAGACACUCUCUACACCUACUCUGAGUGACAAUUCUAUAGAGAAUGCGAUAUAUAUGGUACUAUGGAUUUCAUUUUCGGAAAUGCUGCAGUUGUGUUUCAAAAUUACAAUAUUUUCUUCAAAUUGAUAAAUGAUAGUUUUUUCAUUCAUACUUUCAUUCGUUCAUGUACAGAAUAUAUAUACAAGGUAAUCACCAUUCUAAGAAUGGGAAAGAAUGAUAUAAGGAAAUAACAACUAAUAUCCUAAUAUCUCAACUUUUCUAAUAUCUCAAUAUUCAUAAUAUCUCAAUAUUCCUAAUAUCUCUACUUUCCUAAUAUCUAAACAUUCAUAAUAUCUCAACACUAAAUGAUAUAAGGAAAGAAUGAUAUAAAGAAAGCAUUCCUAAUAUCUCAACACUCCCCCUCAAGUUGGUGCAUAGAUGUCACACAUACCCAACUUGUCUAAAAAUUUUGAGAACACUUGACUUGAGACAGCUUUGGUGAGGAUAUCAGCCAAUUGAUUUUCUGAUCGAAUCUUAGGCAAUUCCACAAUCUUAUCAUCCAACUUUUCCUUAAUGAAGAAUCUAUCCACCUCGACGUGCUUUGUACGAUCAUGUUGUACUGGAUUAUGAGCAAUGUCACAUGCGGCUUUAUUGUCACAAAACAAUCGGAUUGGUUGCCUAGAUAGGUAACCUAAAUCAUGUAAUAGGAGUCUUAGCCAUAAUGCCUCCCAAAGUCCUAGAGCCAUACCUCUAAAUUUCGCUUCUGCGCUUGAACGAGCGACGACAUUCUGCUUCUUACUUUUCCAUGACACAAGAUUACCACCUACAAAGGUAAAGUAACUAGAUGUAGAUCGCCUAUCAUCCACUACACCGACCCAAUCAGCAUUAGUAUAUACUUCUAUACUUUGAUGAUCAACAUUUUUUGCGGACAAAAUUCCCUUCCUAGGAGCAUUCUUCAAAUACCUCAAAAUACGCAUGACUGCAUUCAUAUGUUGCUCUCCGGGAUUAUGCAUGUAUUGACUCACUACACUCAAUGCAUAAGCAAGAUCUGGUCUUGUAUGAGUUAAGUACAUUAAUCUCCCCACAAGUCUCUAGUAUCUUCCCUUAUCGGUUGAUACUUGAUUAGGUUCAACACACAAUUUCAGACCUUCUUCUAUUGGUGUAUUAACAGGUUGACAUCCCGACAUUCCAAUCUCCUGUAAAAGAUCUAGGCAUACUUUCUUUGAGACAGAAAAAUUCCUUCACUUGAUCGAGAAACUUCAAUCCUAAGAAAGUAUUUCAGAGGACCUAGAUCUUUCAUUUCAAAUUCUCUAAAUAGAUCAUUUUGUAAAGCUUUUCUUUCUUCAGGAUUAUUUCCUGUAACUACCAUGUCAUCCACUUAUACGAUAAGUGUCGUAAUCUUACCAUGUUGCUUUUUCAGGAACAAAGUGUGAUUUGAAUUACUUUGACGAUAGCCAAAAACUCUCAUUGAUUUUAUGAACCUUCCAAACCAUACUCUCGGGGAUUGCUUCAACCCAUACAACGACUUCUUCAAUUUGCACACCUUCUGACAUUGUUUUUCUGAUACCAUGCAUCCUGGUGGAAGAUCCAUGUAUACUUCUUCAGAUAACUCGCCAUGCAGAAAGACAUUUUUCACAUCGAACUGUUGUAAUAGCCAAUCUAGGUUUGCAGCUAAAGACAGUAAUACUCGAACUAUGUUGAUCUUAGCUACAGGUGCAAAUGUCUCUGUGUAGUCAAUUCCAUAAGUUUGAAUGUACCAUUUUGCUACCAGUCUUGCUUUAAAUCUUUCAAUACUACCAUCUGCCUUGUACUUCACAGUAUAGAUCCAACGACACCCAACUGGCUUCUUUCCUGGUGUACAUUCUACGAGUUCUCAUGUUUCAUUCUUUUGCAAUCAUUUCAUCUCUUCAUUCAUGGUUGCUUUCCACCUUGGAUCAACUAAGGCUUCCUGCACACCGUUAGGAAUAGCUAUAGUAGAUAAUUGAUUUACAAAUGACUUAUUUGAUUUAAACAAACGAUGGUUAAACACAUAGUUGCUCAUGGGAUAUUUGACUUUGGUAGACAAUUCAGGUUCAUAUGUGGGUUUAGGAAUACCUUUAUUAUGACGGUGUGGUAACCGUUUCAUGAAUGGAUCAGGUUCCAAAUUAAGAACACCCUCAGCAGAUGAUGAUUGGUUUGGUAUUUCAGUGAAAACAUCUUCGGACCCAAAUUGUUGACCAUUCAUAUCCAACUCACCCGCUUCCUGGUUCACUAGUUCAGAUUGUCUAAAUUCAUCCUCCUCAGAGAUAUGAUAAUCAUAAUCGAGAGUCUGAAUUUCCUUAUGGUACUCCCCCCGAAGUUCAGACUCAGAUGAAAAAUACAUCGAAUCUUCAUGAAACACCACAUCCAUUGUAACAAACAUUCGUCGAGUUGGAGGAUGGUAAUAUCGAUAUCCCUUUUUGUGCAAUGCAUAUCCAACAAACACACAUUGCAAUGCAUGGGAAGUUAACAUGGUGCGUUGGUGUUUGUGUAGAUGCACAAAUGCCACCAAAAACACGAGGAGGUAGAUUUGGGACAGUUGGGGCAACUAUGGCAUUAGUAAGAGCUUGGAGAGGUGUUUGGAAGUUAAUUGGGCUAGAAGGUACCUGAUUGAUCAAGUAUGUGGCAGAUGUAAUUGCUUCUCCCAAAUAAGAUAUCAAUAUUUUUGCUACUAUCAAGGAAGCACGAACAACCUCUAACAAGUGCCGAUUUUUCCGUUCAACGACUCCAUUUUGCUGGGGUGUAUUGGAAUAAGUAGUCUGAUGAAUGAUGUCAUGUUCUUCCAAAUACUUUAGAAGAUUAGAACUCUGAUAUUCUCCACCAUUAUCACUACACAAAACCCGAACCUUUGCAUUGUAUUGAGUUUCAAUCAUUUUAUGAAAUUUUUGAAACAACAAGUUCACUUCAUCUUUGGUCUUCAUCAAGCAUAACCAUGUCAUUCUGGUACAAUCAUUAAUAAAAGUAACAAACCAACGUGAGCCACUCAAAGUUGGGACUUUGGAUGGACCCCAAACAUCAUAAUGUAUAACCAUAAAAGCAAGCGAACUUUUAUUCAAAAUUAACGGAAACAAAGCACGAUGACUUUUAGCCAAUUCACAAAUAUCACAACGAAAACCAGAAAUAUCACUCUUUGCAAACAAACUAGGAAACAAUUUUUUUAAAUAACCAAAGGAAGCAUGUCCCAGACGUCGAUGCCACAACCAAAUUUCAGACUUUUUCUUCUCCUCCUUAGAUCCAUCUGCCAUCAAGGCUUGUUGCAACUUAUUUGAAUCCUUUGACUGUAAGUCCAAGUAAUAGAGUUUUCCCCGCUUAAUACCACAACCAAUCGUCUGUGUCUUGUUUAGAUGUCCUUAAUCACACAAAAUUCAGGCCAAAAAAUGACAAUACAAGAUAAGGCUACAGUAAUUUGAGAAACUGAUAAAAGAUUGUAAUCUAGAGAUGGAACAACUAAAACAUAAUCCAAAUUCAAAGUAUCGGUAAGAGUUAAGGAUCUUUCCCCAAUGACUGGGGUUGUGUUACCAUUGGCCGUGAAAACAAUUUUUGUGAGGAAGGUCUAAGGGGUGAAACCUGUCUAGAAUCAAAAGUCAUAUGAUCUGUAGCACCAGAAUCAAUUAUCCAUGCACUAUUAAUAACAAGUGUAAAAGUAUUUAAAAACUUACCACCAUGAUCUGUAGCAGCUACCAAUGCAGAGGCUUUCUCAGCAACAUUAGCUUUUGUUUUUAUUUCGACAAUAGUUGCAGUCGAGGUUUUCUUGGAAUUUUUCUUCCGUUGAUCACGAUUAUUAUCAUUAAUAACAAAGUGGUGAUAACCUAAACAUGAUCUAAAGGUCCAUGGUUCAAAUCCUCGGUUCCUCAUUGUUUUCCUGGUCAUACCAAGAGUCGUUGCUUUGAAAUUGUGGGAUAUCCAAAUUGGUGAGAUUAGUCUUAUUGCAUUGAGUGCAUUUGAAGGUUGACUUGUCAAUAUUAGGGCUUGUCUUAGGAUGGUUGAUCGUUGUUGGACUACCAUAGCGACAAAAUAUCCAGGAUUUCAAUUCCAUGGCUCUAAUACCAUCUUCAAAUUGAUAAAUGAUAAUUUUUUCAUUCAUACUUUCAUUCGUUCAUGUAUAGAGUAUAUAUAGAGGGUAAUCACAAUUCUAAGAAUGGGAAAGAAUAAUACAAGGAAAGAAUGAUAUAAGGAAAUAACAACUGAUAUCCUAAUAUCUCAACUUUCCUAAUAUCUAAACAUUCCUAAUAUCUCAACACUAAAUGAUAUAAGGAAAGCAUUCCUAAUAUCUCAACAUAUUUACGCACGUAACCCUCCCAACAAGAUCAACACAGUAACUGCCCAAGGUAGGACUGACCCUAACCAAAACAUUGGAAUUUCCAUACACGACUGUAAGGUUACAACUGCUUCAGAUCUAAAGGUUGUCCAAAGCUCGGUCAAGACAUACCUUGGGAGGCCAUGGAAAGAAUAUUCUCGGACCAUCUUCCUAAAGACCUACCUUGAUAGCCUAAUAAACUCAGCUGGUUGGUUGGAAUGGAGCGGUGACUUUGCCCUAAAAACCCUAUAUUAUGGAGAGUACAUGAACACAGGCCCUGGGUCAUCCACAUCUAGUAGGGUAAAUUGGGUUGGUUAUCAUGUGAUUACUAGCUCAAUUGAAGCAGCAAAGUUCACUGUUGGUAACUUCAUCUCUGGCAAUUCCUGGUUACCAUCUACCAAGGUUCUUUUCACUUCUAGCCUUUGAAUCAGUCCAAUUAAUGGUAUAUGAUAUUCUAUCAUCUUCCUGUAGACAUGUUUCUAGAUCUAGAUAACCUGAAUUCCUUGUAGGAGAAGAGAUAAAUUGGUGGGGAAUGGCAAUGAUCUCUAAAAUCUAGCUACAAUAGUUUCAUUGUAUCUUACUACAAAUUGUGUUUGUUGGAAUCCAUGCAAUGAUCAAUGGCUAAAAAUAGAAAAAAAAAAAUGAGAAAGAAGAACACGGAGAUUUAACGUGGUUCGGCUAAUUGUCUAUGUCCAAUGGAACUCCAUUCCACUUCGCUAUGCUCCCGUUCCAUUCCACUUCGCUCCCGUAUUUGCCCCUUUUUCUCCAUGUCUUUUCGUUCAAAUAUGAGCCACAUAUUACAAUAGUGUGUUAUGAUUCUUUAUUCAUUGUUGUAAAGAAUGAUAUUGAAUGAAAUUAUAUUCUUUUUGUGAGUCACUAAUCUUCUUUGAAAUCUUUUGAUUCUAAUUAUUGGCAUCUGUUAACUGCUCCAAUGAUUUGCCCGUAAUUGCAACAUAACUCGCUGAUCGUUUGUAUUCCAAAAUGACAAGAAGUCUUCUUGUUUCGUAAUUUUACAACUGCUAGAAUGAAAGAAGUGAAAUCACUAGGAGCAAGAAAAACAAGGAUAUAAGGGCUAGAAGUAUUACAAUAGUGAAUAUUAUAUAGUUCAUAUUUGGAUAUAUUUCAUUUAAAAAAAAAUUCAAAAGUAGAAAAUCUUAAAUAAAAUAUAGGAAUUCUUAUACAUACAUACAUAUAUAUAUAUAUAAACUUUUUACAUUUUUUUUAAAUUUAAAGAAAUAAAAAUAUUUCACUUUCUAUGAUUUUUUUUUAAAAAAAUUUUGAAAAAACUUUUAACAAUGCAAGGUAAAUUCUUUCCUUUUAUGUAAAAGGUCUUUGCUUUGUAUAGAAGUUUUUAUUUUUAAAAACAAAAAUAAAUUUCUAUUUUUUAAAAAAGAAAAAUAGAUUUUUUUUAAAAUAAAAUAAAAAUAGGAAGUAUAUUCCAAUGCCACCUUAUUUUAUUAAUUUGAUUUGCAGUUGAAUAGAUAAUAAUGAGAGCAUGGACUGAUGGACCGCUCACUACCCCCUCCCAAACCAAAACAAAGGACCUACAUAUUCAACACUCCUUAAUGUCUAAAUUGUACCAUACCUACGACAUCCAUGAAAUCCACUUUUUUUUCUCAUAACAAAGAACUUUGUAAGCCAUAAUAUUAUCAUAUCUUGAUGCUUUCUUUGGCCACUAACUCUAUGUGUUUCGUGCAUCAAUGAAAUACCAAGUUCUUUUUCCUUGCAAUUUUGGACUAAUGGUCGCUUCACAAAAACCAAAGUUGAAAACAUAGCUAGUGAUACUUGUAGGUAUUCGAUCAUCAUUUUAAUUUGCCCAAUUACUAUAAAGAAACACCAUAAAGCUUUAAAUUGUUAGUGUUAGUGUACUGAAUACAAUAUGAGCUUGAUCAUCAGCUUCCAAGAAGAUCUUUUACGUACUCCUCUUCCUUCACAAUGCUGUUUCUCUUCUAGCCCAAGAAAGCAACUUAUCAAGCUAAUAUCAGUCAUCUCAAAUUCAUUAAUCAUCAUAAUUUUGAAAUUCUCCCUACUGUAUCCAAAGAAAAAAAAAACAUAAAACAAAAUUAAUGUGAUCUCAUAUUUAUGCAUCCAAAAAAUAGGGUUAUCCUCACUUUCAUUCGAAUGAUUUGAUUCUUUCCCUUUAGAUGUAGAAUCGCUCCAAGUCACUUGCAUAAGUUAUUUUUCUUUUUUUAAGCUAAGGCAAUUAGAAAAAUAUGCCUUUAAUUUCCCACCAUAAGUAAAGCAUGCAUUCAACUUGAUUUGAUUUAGAUAAGUUAUUUUCUUUUCUUUUAUUUCUAGAGUUUUAUAUAAAUUUUAAAUUUCUUAACAAACAUGGAUAUUUCAGAAUGACUAAGAAUAAGUCCACUCUCAUUUUCGAACUCAACCUUUUCUUUUCAAGAAGUUGUUAGAGCUGGCUUUUUGUAUCUCUUUGAUAGGGAAGAUUCAUCUCAUAGGUUUGUGGGAACCUUCUAACUCAUCUACUCUUAAUGUAUCCAUGUCUUACUUUCUUUUAUGGGUGUAAGUUUAGGCCUAAAUCUCUCAAGGAAAAAUUUCAAUAUCCUCCUAACUACCUUAGAAUUAAGAUUUUUUUCACCAAAAUUAAAAUAAGAAUUCACAAUGUCAAUCAAUUCAAUAUAUAUAGAAUUCAGACAAUGUCUCAUCUUCAUUCAUUCUGAUGCUUUUAAAUUAGACAAUCAACAUUUUUUGUUUAGAUAGCAUCACAGUAGAAGUGCCUUCAUAAGUUAUAUUCAAGAUAUCCCAAGCUUCUUUAGCAUGUUUACAUAUUACUAUCCUUUUAAAUUCAUAAGACUCACACCAUUGAAAAUACCUUAAAGAGUCCUUGGAUUGACUUCACUUCUUUUAUUGUCAAACUUAUAUGAUCAUUCUUUGAUUGUUUAGGUAGAAUAUGCACAAUUUUUUUUUCUUUUAAUCUGGAUUCUCUAAAUAAGCAAAUCGAUUAAUUAGAGAUUAAAAAAAGAAAAAAAAAACCAAUACAAAAUGACACUUCAAUCUACAUAGGUGCUUAGAAAAUUUGUAGAUACAAAAAAAAAAAAAAAACCAAGACAUGUAGUUUUACUUAAUUUAGGCGCAUCUAUUCCUCUUAUACCUAUCAGUAGCUAUUAGUUUUUUUUCUUUUUCUUUUUUCACUUCCAUAUGCAUCAUCUCAUGCUCCAAAGUAAAUCACCUCAACACUCUGCCAAUGCUAGUGGUUCAAUGCAUGUUGCCUUUCUACUAAAAUAUUUCUAAGGUUCCUAAACACCUCAACAUUGUGCCAAGGCAAGUGGUUCAAUGCAGGUUGCCUUUCUACUAAAAUAUUUCUAAGAAGGUUCCUAAAAGAUGUAAGAUGUUGAGUGAAGAGUACUAAGGAAGAGCAAUGGCUACCAAUUCAUGUGCACACUUUUUAGUCUAGAAAACAAGGUCUUUAUAUCAAAACCCUAGAAGGAUAUGUGGACUAGGUUUUUUUAAAGCAAUUUUACCAAAAUGUCUAAUGAAAAUAUAAAAAUCAAACUAAUUGUCUUGAUGAUUCAAUAAUUUAUAUUCAAAUAUUAUUAUGAUCUAAAUUAAUGUACAAAAAUUGAUUCAUAGAUCAAAAUUUCAAUGGACUGUAUCAUGAUUUAAACCAUCUUAUAAUUUGUCCAUACUUAAAACUUUUAAUUGCAAUACCGUGAUACCUAAAAAUAAUAUUGUAAAAAUAUAACCAAAUAUAUUUAAAACAAUAUUUGAACAUAAUGUAUUCUCAAAAUUAUUUGUGGAUAAUAAAAAAUUAUCACUUUGAUAAGAAUACCAUAUGUUGAAACAUUUAAUAUUUAAUAAUAACAAUUAUUUUUAUGUAACUCAAAAUUUUGGAAUCAUGGAAAAGUCGUGACUUGAAAAAUUGACAUAUAAAAUCAAAUAAGUUACUUGUAUGACCAAGUCACAUAUUUCACAUAUAUUCAAAAUAUAUAUAUAAUCAAGAUUUCAAAGAUGUUUUUAGAAAAUUCAAUCAUAAAUCAAAUAUAUACUUCGUACCAGUUUUGAUAUAUUUCAAAUAUAUCAAAACAAAAUCUUCAUUUUUCAUCCAACAUGGUAUCAAAAUAUGUACACUAGACUUUAGAAAAUCUUCAUACCUUCAUGUACAAAAUCGUGUAUAUAUAUAUAUAUAUAUAUAUUCUAAGAUAUGUCAAAAACAACAUAUUCUCAUUAUUAUAAUAUUUAAAAUGAAAUAUUUUUAUAUCCUAAUAAAUAUCUCCAAUAUUGAGAUAAGGAAAAACAAAUAUUUUAAUAUGUAUCUAAAAGAUAUUAUAUAUCAAGAAUUUUCGACAUAUAAGUAUAUAUGAUGAUCAUAAAUUUCAACUUUCUAUAUUAAUAACAAACAUAUUUCAGUAUUAUAUAUAUCUCUUAGAUAUUAGAAAACAAAGAUUAAGUCAAACUUUUGAUUCCUAAAAUAUAUCAAACUCUUGAUGAAGUCAAAAACCAACCCUCAAUAUCUCAGAUAAUGAUGAGGAAGGGAUUGAGAGUCAAGAACCAACUUCUUUGACAAUAAUACGGCAUGCUCUUGAGCUAACAAAUGGGUGUGAUGCUGAGAAAGAAAAUAAUGAAUAAACUGAGAGUCCCAGGGCUAAGUAACAAUUUCUGGUGAUAAGGAAGGUCUAAUUGCUUGAAGCCAGUCAAGUUCAGGAGUAGCAGCAAAUUUUGAUAUUUGUAUAAUACAACUUUGCAAAUAGAAAGCAAACCCAAAGCUCACUUUUCCCUAAUUUUAAGUCUAAGUCAUAUUUUUUUAAUAUUAAUUUUGAAAGUUAGUUAAUCUGGUUUAGGUGUUUCCUAGAGGGGCCAUAGGUGUUUCAGCUUUUUAAGUCAAAAAUUAAAUAUUUUCAAUUAUUUAAAGAUUUCCUUUUAAUUUAGGGAAGCCCAAUGAAUAAUCAACAUAAGAGAGACAAUAAUUUUUUAUAUGAAAAACCACUCAAUACAAUGAGCAAAUGCAAAAACUAUAGGAUCGAAAACCUCUAAUCACCAAUCCACUAUUCAAAAGUACAAUACACAAUAUAUGUGGCGGAUGCUAUCCCUAAAUCUCACUCUCCUACACCUACACUGAACUUCAUGUUUGCAAUGCAACACUACGUACAAGUACUCCUAAUGGAUAUUAUGUAAGCGCUUAAAGGGAUGUAGAUCUUCUUCUCAACCUAGAAAAUAUGAAGACAAAUGUCUGAAAGAGUUUGAAACUCAAAAAAGGUUAAUAUUGUUUUUGGUUUACUAUUCACAUCAAACCAAAAACCUUUUUAGGCAAGGUAUUUAUAAUAUACAAAUACCUAGUGAAUUCAAAUUAGGAAUUCCAAAAUAAAUUCUAUUACAAUUGUAAAAUUAAUCAAAUUAUACAAAAUUGAAAUCCUGCCACAAAGCUUGAGUGCCUUAACAAGUUUUUAAAAUCAUUUUAAAACAUCUUUGCUCAAUUUAAAAAAUAUUCAAUCCAUGCAAGUUUUAUAUAAAUCUUAUGAACUUUUCUCAAACCUUUUUAUACUUACAUGUAUCAUUCUAGUUAAUCAUGCAACAACCUUAAAUCUUCAACGAAGAGUAAGAUAAAUAAUAUAGAAAUUUUCUAUACCAAAAUAAAUGGAAUAAAACUAUCAACUUAAAUUAUAUAGUCUAAUAUACUAAUAAAUUUCUAUUUAGAUUUUAUGAAAUCAAAUCUAUUUAAACUACAAGUACCCAAAAAAAAAAUGCCAUUAAGUGCAGGUUCAAGUCACCUAGAUACUUGUAAUACUUGCAUAUUAUAAAGUGGCUGAAUAAUCAUAUUAUUUUGUUUUUUUUAAUUACUCUAUAAUCUUAAAAUCGUGAAUAUCGAAGGGAUUUAUUGGCCGUUGGGAAAUUUUUUAAAGGAAUCAAGAAAUUAGUUUUAAUAUAUAUUUUUAUUCCCAAAGUGUUGUUAGUAUUAAAUAAUAUACGCACUUCGUCCAUAAUUAGUUUCUUUACAAUUUCAAGUAAUUUGUGUUCAUAAUUACUUAGGUAUUUUUGUUCUACAAAUGUGACACUUAAAAUAAUUUGUUGUUUGUUUUGUUACAAAUUAAUUUUUCUUACACUAAUAUAAUUAAAUGAUUUAAUAGCUUAGACUAAAUGAUCAAAUUGACGAACUUCUGAGAGAAAAAGAUAACAGCCCGACUCUAUUAAGUGGUUUCACUCCAUUCGAUCGUUUUUAAUAUUGCACUUCUAACUAUUUCUUCACUUAACUAAGGAGAUAUUUUUGCUACCUAAUUCCUAAUCUAGAAAACCAAUUUGAGUCCUUGAAGGCAUGAUGAAGGUGAUCAUCUAUCUAUAGGGUUUUCAAAUUUUCCUUGCUUUGAAUAUCGAUGAGACCGAAUUCCCAUCUCUACCAUCUUUUGCUUGCAAAUAAAGAUGAAUUCUCUUUGGAUGCAAAAUACAAAUUUAAUCACCAUUCUCAACCUCUUGGUGGGCCUCCUCUCCAGCUAGAGCAUCAGAAUAUAAAUAUUAAAAUGGAACUCACAGGGUUCCUUCUUAUUAGUCACAUGCACGUGACAUUAUUAACAUUUGAUAGUCAAAAGGACUGAGGCGGAGAAAGCGGAUGUUUGAAAUCAUUCUUUGGAUGUGUGAAGCCGCGUUUUUAUAACCCAGCUGGAUGAUGAUGCCGACAACUGAUUUAUGUACAUAUUCCUACUUAACAAUCAGUGACAGAAAAAGACUAAUCUAAGCCGUUCAUCUUUCGGUUCCCAUAACUAUUAUCUUAAGGGAAAAGUUAAUUGAUAUUCAUAGUGUUAAAAAGAGAUUAUUUCUAGGAGAAUUUGAUAUUUUUAACUCUUGCAAUACAUACCCAUUUCCAUGCCCAUGCGCCUGCUGAUUUUUAUUUUCCCAAAUAUUCAUUAAUUAAGGUAAAAUGAAUCUGAACCAAGUGAAAAUGGCCACAUCUCUAUAGAUGCAGGCCAACUCUUGACCAGCUGGUUGUGUCCACUUGAUGCUCUCUGCUGACCCCACACUAGAAGAACAUGAGGAUGAAGGCGUUCCAUGCAUGACCUGCCCCGGUUUCAUCCUUUUAAUCUAGUCAACAAAUAUUAUACAUGUAUUAUUAUGGAAGGGUCAAUAAUGCUACAUCCUAAACAUUGUUCCACGAUAUAGGAAGAUACAAUCAAACUUGAUAUUGCCUACUCGAAAACACAAUGCCUGGCCUUCAUUACCAACGCCCCUAUAUAAACCAAUCAUUGAAGCAAUCAUCUCCACACAAACCUUGAUCAAAAGCUUUAAGCUACCAAAUUCACCCCAUUUUCUUACUUCCAAUUAAGCUUGCAGCCAUGGUUUUUGUAGCUCUUGUACUCGUGUCCCUCCUCCUUACUCCUCUGGUCUCUGGUUACUCCUCCCAUGAUGUAAAAUCAUGGUGCAGCCAGACACCCUACCCUCAACCUUGUGAGUACUUUCUGAGCCAUAAGCCUGAUCACUCCCCCAUUAAACAGAAGUCCGAUUUUCUCAAUAUAUCAAUGCAAGUUGCUUUGGAACAAGCCAUGACUGCUCAUGGUAACAUAUUUUCGCUAGGUUCCAAGUGCCGGAAUGAGCGAGAAAAGGCUGCAUGGAAUGAUUGUGUCGAGCUCUAUGACCACACCAUUCUUAAGCUCAACAAAACUCUCGAUCCCAACACUAGGUGUACCCAAGUUGACGCUCAAACAUGGCUCAGCACUGCUCUUACCAACCUCCAAACAUGCCAAGACGGGUUCAUCGAGCUCGGUGUGUCAGACCACUUUUUGCCCUUAAUAUCCAACAAUGUUUCUAAGUUGAUUAGCAACACUCUAUCCAUCAACAAAGUUCCAUAUGCUGAGCCUAGUUACAAAGGGGGUUACCC
rnacentral:lncRNA from 1 species